UGAGAUAUAAAACAUAGUAAUCAAUUAUCAUUUUUACUAAAAUUGCAUAAACUAAUGAUGAUGGAACAAAUAAAUAGGAACAGAAGAUAAAAAUGCAAAUGGAUUAUUAGUUAAAGAAAAAGGAUGGACUUAAGUAAAAAGGGGUUACCCUUAUUUAAACACAGAGGCAACAAAUUGUGAAAGGAAAAGGGAAUUGAAAUCCCUAAUUCCUUUUCUUCUCCUCCAACAGCCAAGGGUUCUCAUCAAGGAAGAAGGCGGUGAUGCCAUCUGAAGCCAACGACACCAUCGCGGGAACACCAAUUCGUGGCUCCUCAUUUCUUCUCCCUUCUUGUCCGUUCUAGUGGCAGCGGCGACCGAAUUGGCUGAAGACGAUGAUGCCGAAUCGAGGUUUUGGCUUCCAUACACUAUCGAAGCAAGUUGAAAAACAGGGGAUGAUUAUCUUCUCUCUCUCCUAUUCUUCAAUGGUUCUCUUUUCAGUGAAGUUAUGGACUCCCGGUAUUGAGAAUGUGCCAUUAUGCGAUGAUACUUUGGCAAGGGUGGACAUGGCUACCGCUCUUUUCAUUUUGGGUCGAAUAGGUUGUUAAUUCGUCUUUGGCGAAGCUCGCAGCUCCUUUCGUCGGAGAUAGGAAACUUUGGUCCAAGCUAUUGUGAUAAGAAUUUGUGUUUGGGUUUGAGAAUAGGUUGAAUUUGUAUAUGCUUGUAACUGUGUGCGGGGUUGAAGGGUUUCCUCUCUGUUUUAUGAUAUAUCUAUUCUCUACUUUGGCGUGGAUGAUAAUUUGGUUAUAUGCUAUGUGCUUUCACUCCUUGUGGGAUAAGCGUAUGUUUUUUUCUGCUUUUAUGAAUGUUGUAUCUGGUGUGUAUGUAUAGGUGAAGUGAGAGUGGGUAAUAUACUGGAAAUUUUUAGGGAUGAUAGGAUAAAGAGAUGAUAACAAGUGUAGUGCGUUUGGUAGAGGAAUUUGGACUAUGGAGGUGUUGUAGUAUUGGAAGUUUGAGAGGAGGAUUAGCCUGUCAUUUGUUCUCUCAUAUGAUUGAUGACUGAAUAAAGAGGAGAAUUUGGGAUUACAGUGACGUGUUGUGAAGGAGUCGUAACAUAAAAAAGAAAGAAUGUAAAUAUAUGCAUAUGUGUAGCGAUCUGUGUAUAUAUGUGAUAUGUUGUGUAUACUCAGGUAUGAUAUGCGCGUGCAUUCUCUCUGGAUUGCUGGGUUCUUUUGGCUCUCUGAUUUUUGUUAUGUAUCUAUGUUGCUCUCUGCUCUUUUUCAUAAAUCAUAACUACGUGGCAUCUCUGAUUGCUUGUCAUGGGUGUGUAGUGAUCUUGCAUUUUUUAUAGAAUUGCCCUCUCCCCUCCCAAAAGUUGGAAUAGAGAUUAAUUUUAUAAUGAAUAUUCCUUAACAUGCCAAAUAACGUGUGAGUUGUGACUCUCUCCAUCCUCCUUUUAUGCUCAUUACUUUCAUUCACUAGCCUUUUUAUUUUCAUCUUCUGAAGGGUCUUGUUCGUUAGCCAGCAAGUGCAUGAAAACCCCUUUUAAAUUCAUGUGAUAUGGCUCUAUAUUUUCAAAAGGCAUUAAGGACUUCUUCAUACACCUUUCUUUCUUCCACACCUAUCUUUAUCUCUAAAUAAUCAAAAGAACGAAGGACAUAAAGCCAAUGGUGACCUCUAAAUUCUUUGGAUAAUGACAAGCACUAUAACUACAUGCUCAAGAUUAUGUAAUUGUGUUUCAACACAUUAAUAUUUGUGCCUCUUUGUCUAUGAUAUAACGCUUCCAUUAAAAUGACUAUGUAACCCAAUUUAUUAACUUAUUAUCUAUUUAAAACGUAAACCGCCAAUAAUGAAAGGUUUUCCUAAAUCAAACAGCCAAAACAACCUGUUUUGGGUCAUACGGAAAAACACUUUUUUUCAAAUUUUAUUUUUAUUUACUUUAUUAUUAUUUUUUACUUUAUAGACAUAGGCCGGACAAAAUUCGGUGUUCACACACUAUAAAGGAUUAUAGAGAAAAUGAUUAUUUGAUUUGCUUCCUAAAAGGAUUGAAUGAUCAAUUCUCUGUAGUAAGGUCACAGAUCAUGUUAAUGGAACCCAUACCAUCCAUAAACAAUGUCUUUUCUAUUCUUGCCCAACAAUAAAUACAAAUGCUCUUAGAAGAACCAAGGUUGCUAACCAACUUUGUUGGUUUUUCAAGCACUAUUGUUGAACAAAGAAGAGGAAGAAUCCUAAGAGGAACAAGUGGAAACAAAUACCAGGCAUCAGGAAGAUCAUCCACCCAAGCAAGAGGAAGAAUUCAGAAGACCAUAUGCACAUUCUGCUAAAACAUUAGACACAUAGUGGAUGUUUGCUACAAGAAACAUGGGUUUCCCCCAAACUAAUUCACUAAUUCAAGUAGUGCAAACAAUUACAUUGUCUUGAAUACUAAUGACCAACUGAAUGAAACAACAAGUUUUCAUGAUUCUGGGAAAAUGACAAUACAAUUGCAGUUGCACACUCCUUCACACCUGAGCAACAAAAUGCUAUCAUGACAUUAAUUAAAUAAUCAAUGAAUCAAAAGGGUCAUACUGCCAACUAGAUUGGUCCAAAUUCUGACCGAACAACCAAGAUUGAUCAUCAUGCAUCAGGUAAUUCUCACCAUGCAUCAGGUAAUUCUCUGUCUUUUGGCAACACAACCAAGAUUAGCUCUUGGAUCCUUGACACGAGAGCUAUAGACCAUGUUUGUAACUCCGUAGCAGAAUUUCAAAACUUUAAGGAAAUUCAACCAUUGCCUAUCACAUUGCCUAACAAAGCUCAGGUACUUUCCCACUAUUUAGGGACAAUGGUUUUCACUGAAUCCAUAUACAUCACUGAUGUGUUAUACAUCCAUAACUUCAAUUUCAACUUAAUAUCAAUAUCUAGACUCACAUCCAUACUACCCUACACAAUAACUUUUUACAAAUAAUGGCUGCCAAAUCCAAGAAUCACACUCCUCGUGGAUGAUUGGUGUAGCUGAACUAAAAGCAGGACUUUAUGCAUUGAUGCUAACUAGAAGAAAUUACCCCAAACCUCACAAUAUCAAUGCUCAUUUUAGCUAUGAUGAUAAGAACUUGUGGCACUCUAGACUAGAAUACCUAUCACGUUAGAAAAUGCUUACUAUGCAAAGUUACUUUCCAUUUAUACAUUGUAAUAAAAAUUUUGAUGCAUGUAAAACUUGUCAUUUUGCUAAAUAGCAUAGACUUCAAUAUUCUAUAAUACCAUAUCUCAUUGCAUUUUUUAUUUGGUCCUCAUGGACAUUUGGCGACCCCUAACUAUCCCAUAUACAUUUGGCCACAAAUACUUUCUUACUGUUGUUGAUAAUGGGUCUAGAUUUACAUGGAUAUUCUUCAUGAGACAAAAAUCUGAAACAAGUCAAUUGAUUAAAGAAUUCACUGCCUAUGUUGAGACUUGAUGAGGGUGAAAUUAUGCUACAUUUGUAUUGUAUUUAACUUGCAUUUUAUGACAUAAUUAGGACUUUAGGAUGGUUUUUAGCUUUUAUUUCUCUUUGUUCGGGUUGAGCGGGUGUUUUUAGCAAUGUUGUGCAGUUUGGAUGGAUUAAAGCAAAAAAUGUAAGAACGAGGUUGCAACUAAGAGGGGGUGAAUUAGUUGACUUAAAAAUUAUGACCACUUUUUCUUCAAAAUCAAGAGUUAACGUGCAACGGGAAAUAUAUGUAGAAAAUUAAUCAAGAUAAAAUGAAAGAGAUAAGGGAGAAGAGAAUACACAUUGAUUUUUAUAUUGGUUCACCUUCUAGUCCAUUGAAGGCUACGUCCAGUAUUCUUGCAGCACAAGAGAUUUCUUCACUAAGAAUUAUGAGUUGUAAUUACAAUAUCUCACCCCGAGACUUCUAUGUACCUUACACACUCCUUAAUCCUUAUUCACUCUUGGAAAACACCUUUCCAAGUGAUUCUAACACCCUUUCUUUUCACACCCCGUGAAAGAAAGUAUUCUGCAACAAUAUUGAAGAAUGUACAACAAUGACAGAUUGCCUUUACAAGUAUGAAAUUAGUAUAACUAGCAAUCCAAUCAACUCUUUAUGUAUACCAAGUAACUUCAGAAAAACAACUUUGAAAGUUAAGGACUAGUUGCAAAAAGUGUAGAUAAAUAAUUUCAGAAUAAGUUUAAGAGCUUUUGGAAAUUGUAUAAGAGUUGUGUGUUGUUGUGAAUUUUUGUUUUGAGAGUUAGAGCCUUUAUAUAGACUUUCCAAACACCAUUGGUGCCUUUCUGAAAGUGUAGGAGUUGUUUCAAGUGAAGAGAUUUCGUUUGGAGUGACAACAUUUCAUUUUGAAAUCUGAAAUCUGAUGCAACAACUCUCAGUAAUCGAUUACUCACAGUGGGUAAUCGAUUAUCCAAACUCUCUGUCCACUGUUCAUUUAAAAUCGAAUUAGAGUAAUCGAUUACAGCAAUCUGGGUAAUCGGUUACUCAACUUUUCAAAACUGGUAAGUUGUUACUCAAAGACAGUAAUGGAUUACUCUGAAUAAUUUUAAGUUGGAUAACUCUUUUCUCACACACGUAACCUAUUACUUAUAUGAAGUAACCCGUUACACACUAUUUUUGAAAAUUGUUUUAAGUAUUUUAAAGUGUUUCAACUUUCUUUAAAAACAGUUUGAGCAUUACUACUUUGUAUAUUUAAGAGUUUUAAGAUAGAAGUACCUAUAGAGACUUAAUCUAAUUAUCUUGAAGCUUUAAUCUUUUUUAUCUUCAUAAGUAUUCUUCUUUUUCUUCUUUUUGUUGAUGUUGGUGUCUUCAUCAAAACCGUGCCAAGGUCAGGAGCAAAAAUCUUCUUCACAAAAAAGUGUAGAGAUUGGAUGCAAGAAGAUGAAAUUCAGUGUUGAGGCUUUGUGAAGAUCAAUUGAAUGGCCAAAAGAAGUCAUAGAUGUUAUAUUAUAUUCAUAUUUUUUAGAUUUUUUUUGUUGGGCUUAGCCCUAUAUUUUGUAAUUGGGAUAAAUGAAGAUUCUCCCUCAAGGAUGAUACACUUUACACUUUACGUUUUAAAUUACAAUUCUCUAAUUUAGAAUUUGGUAUUCUAUUCUCCAUCAUGAGUGAGUAAUUCCCGUUGUUUCUAGGAUUGGGGUUAUGCCCUUUUACAUUCAAUAAAUACUUGUUCUUACUUUUAUUUCAUUGAGUGUUGUGAUUUGAAUCAUUAAAUUGAAUUUUAUUCGUGUGAGUUGUCUGGCCAACAAAUUACACCUCUUAGAUACAUUGGGGAAUGACCGAGAGGUGAACCCAACUAUAUGAUCAUUCAGUUAUUCAAACUAGAAUCCUAAUUCACGAGAGUAGUAUUAGGAUUCUCGGGGGUUUCUGGAAUUCACUUUGGGUUGCUACGAAGCGAUUGAAUAGAGAGAUCCAAGUAAAGGAUUUGAUUGAUAAUCAUACCACGAGAGUAGGUGCGACUUCAAUUGAGUACACAUGUUGGAGCUCGAGAGAGGAUGACACAUAUGAAAGAGCCAUUCACCCUCAUAACUUAAAGUUCAUGAAAAGGAGCAAAGCAAGGAUUUGCGAGUGUAAAGGUGAUAACCCUUAUCCUGAGAACUCUUCCUAAAUUAGAUUUCAUUCUUUUUUAUUUAUUACUAUUUUCAUAAUUAUUCUUGUCAAUUAUUCAAUUGUUCUAAAUUCACUUUUAAUUCCUAUUUGAGUGAAAGAUAAAUUAAUUGUUAUAAUUAAAUGAGUUUUCUAGUCCUCGUGGGAUCGAUAUUUUAUUACUUGACGAUAUAAUCGUGCACUUGUGAUUUGCCCUAUCAAGUUUUUGGUGCCGAUAUCAGGGACUGUGUCAAAAUUUCUUUAAUUCUCAAUUAAUUCAUUAAUUUACUCUAGUGUAUUAGGCGUUUUCCUUUUUCUUGGUACCUUUGUAGGUUGCCCAUUUGGUUUAUGCAAAGUUCAAAUUGCUACUCAGAGCCAUAAAAUACUUUUCGUAGAAGAAGAAGACAACAAAGAGAAAGAGCAAGAAAAAGAUGUGCAUGUAUACAAACAAUGGCUGAACGAGAUGAACAACCACUUAAAGCGACUAUGCAACCCCUAAUUGUUGAAGCUUGGGAAAGAUUAAAUGAGUUGACUGAAGUUUGCCCUCAUCAUGGUAUUCCACCUUGGAUGUUGGUUCAGAACUUCUACAGUGAGCUAGACUUUCCAUCACAAUAUUUGUUGGACUCUUCAGUAGGUGGUGUCUUUAUGGGCAAAGGAAUUGAUGUUGCUUCAAAGAUCAUAGAUAAUGUAGUUUCCAAUCAUCAUCAAUGGGUGAAUGAGAGGAUACACCAUCCAAGAAGAGACUCUAGUGGAUAAUAUUCAGGCAAUCACAUGGAGAAGGUAAUUUCCACGUUGGAGAAACUUUCUCAAAGGUUUGGAAAGCUAGAAAAGUACCAUGAUAAUGCUAUUGGGUCUACUGCAACAUGUAAGGGGUGUGGAACAAAAGAACAUGAAUGUUCUGAAUACAAACAAUUCACUGAACGUGUACAUGGAGUUUGGGCUAAUGAACAACCUGAAUCAUGCAAUUACUAUGACAACAAGGAAAAGAGUGGACAAUAAUUCAACCGACCAUACAGGCAGAGCAAUCCCAACCUUUCCUGGUCGAGCAAAAACACUUUAAAUCUUCAAUAUCAGGAUGACAAAGGUAAUAGGAAACCUACAACACGGUUUCCACAUGUAAAAUCUUCUCCUAUUGAUCCCACUAUUAUAACAAUAAUGGAAGGUCAAGAAAAAUUACUUGCUAGCCUUAAUAAAUAUCAAGAGGAUCAAAUAAUGAUUAAUAAAAAUGUUGCAAAUAUGUUAAAUGAUUUAAAUUCUAAGAUAGAAAACCUAACCAUCCAUGGAAAAAUGUUAGAAAUACAAAUUGUCCAACAAGCUAGCAACAUUAAUAGGCAAAUAGGGAUGUUUUCAGGACAACCAAAGAAAAAUCCAAUUAAUGAACAUUGUAAGGUUAUUUGAUUAAGGAGUGGGAAAGAACUCAAUGAUGUUCCACGAACUGAGAAUGAUAUACACGUGGGAGAGAAACAUACUGAGAUACAACUCCCUAAAGAGGAACAAAAUUUCGAAAAUGUGUCUAAGUAUGUAGCUCCACCACCAUAUGUACCACCAAUUCCUUUUCCCCAGAGAAUUGCAAAGGCAAAAUUAGAAAAGAAAUAUGGGAAAUUCUUAGAUAUCCUUAAGAAAUUAUAUAUCGAACUGCCCUUCAAUGAAGUACUACAGGAGAUGUCUGCAUACGUGAAAUUUCUUAAGGAUAUUAUAUCUAAAAAGAGAAGACUAGAGGAUUAUGAAAUAAUUGCUUUAACUGAGAAGUGUAGUGCUUUAAUUCAAAACAAAUUACCUCCGAAAAUAAAAGAUCUUAGUAGUUUCUCUAUCCCUUGCUUAAUUGGUAACACUAAUUUUGACUGUGCUUUAUAUGAUUUAGGGGCAAGUGUGAGUCUCAUGCCUUUAUUCGUGUGUAAAAAAUUGGAUUGAGUGAACUAAAACCCACUACUAUAUCACUUUAAUUAGCGGAUAGGUCAGUUAAAUUUCCUACAGGCAUCUUGGAGGAUGUUCCUAUCAAAGUUGGGAAGUUUUACAUUCCAACAGAUUUUGUAAUAUUAGAGAUGGAAGAAGAUGCACAAAUUUCAAUCAUACUAGGUAGACCAUUUUUGGCUACCUCUGGUGCUAUAAUUGAUGUUAAAAAUGGAAAACUUUCUUUAAGUAUAGGGGAUGAAAAUGUUGAAUUUGAUAUUUCUAAAUCUAUUAAACAACCUUCUCUUGAGGACUCGUGUUACAGGAUUGAUAUGCUGAACCAAGUAGUGAAGGAGGAAGUGCCUAAAGUGAAGUAUGAGAAUCUCUUGGAGAGAAGCAUGUUGGGAGGUGACACUUCAAAUUUUGAUGAGGAAGGAGCUAAGGGUAAUGAAUCUAUAAAUGCAAGUUCAACACUCCCUACAACCCGCAUGAGGAGAGCUUGAGGGUCAUACAUAAAUAUGAUAAUUGGGAGAAAGGGAAAACACCUAAAGUGGAAGUAAAAACUCUCCUUCCACCUUCAAGUAUGAGUUCAUGGGAUCUUGUGUGAUGCGUAGAGAUCAACCGUCAAGCUAAUGACAUUAAACGAGCGCUUCAUAGGAGACAACCCAUGUUGGAGUUACUUUUUUUUUAAUUCAUUAAUUUUAGUGUUUUAGUGUCGGCUUAAGUGCCUCCCUGAGUUUGGAGCCUUUGUAAGGGGAUGUAUAUAGUGCCGGCCACACCAAAAAAAUCACAAACUCUAAAAAAAAUUACAUGGAAAAUUGCUAACACGACAAUGACUUUUAGCUGCCUCAUUCAAAUAGGAUAUUUGCACCUAGUCCAUCUAGGACAUAUGACCAUUUGGGACAUUUUUCUCUUCUUUUGUAAAUACUUCCACUACACUCAUUAAAGCCAACCACUUAUAAUUGGUACAUGAGUUAAGGAUACUUCCUACCUAACUUGUGAGUUUCCUUUUUCUUUCUCUUAUUGUUUAGAUUUUUACAUUGGGGACAAUGUAAAUUUCUAAGUUUGGGGGGAUUUUUCAUUUAGAUACUUUAUUCAUGUCAUCCAUACCAUAUAGAUUUUAAAUUUUUUAGGUUGAAUAUUCAUACUAUCAUGCAUUGUCUUAUGUUUCAUAUAUCAUUUUCCCAAUGCUUUGUUCUAUGUGUUGUCUAUAUAUUUUAAAUGAAAAAAGUAUGCAUGAAUGAUGAUUGUUGAUCUGUGACCCAAUUGAAGAAAAAAAUUGUGGAUAAAAUAAUAAUAUAAAAGACAUUAGAUUUAACAAUUAUGAAUUACAUUUGGUUAAAUAAAGGUCUUUGUUUCAAAAUUUGUAUUGAAUGUAUCAAAUGUGAGAAAUUUGGGUCAAUCACAAUAAGGAUUCUGAUUUGAAUUGACAAUUGCAUAAAACCUUUUUUUCUUUCAUGAGUGCAUAAUUUUCAAUGAUUGUACAUUCUAGAACUUCAUUUGUGACUGUUUCAAGAUUUAAGUCUAUCUAUGUGCAUUAAAAUAUAGAGGCAGUUAUGACUUUUUCUUUUCACCUUCAACCACUUGCUAUAAGCAUUGAAAACUCAUUAGUUACCCACUUUUAAGUCUGAAAUUUAACGAUUUUUCAUAGUUACUCAAAUGAGGGUUUGAGUUAAUUUAUGAUGCUUGGUUGAAGCAAUGAAAAAGGUAAAAAAUGUCAUGUGUGAUGAAAGAAUCCAUAAAAAGGUGAAGAAGAAAAUAAAUAAAUAAAUUUCACCCCUUCUCUUUUAGAAAAUAUAAAAAAAUAAAAUAAAUACAAAGUAUACUAAAAGAGAUGGGACUGAAAAAAAGUAUAUUGUAAGGAGAAAGGUUGAAUGAAAAAAGAUCAUAUGAUAAAGUAAGAUCUAUUAAGAGAAUAUCAAUGCUUCAAUCAUAUGUCUAAAAGAUUUAAGUAUUUUGGGAAACAUUUGCAAGCUUUUUGAAUUACCUUUUCUUUUACUAUCUCACCUUAAAUCAUUCACCUUGGCCCCAUUACAACCAUUUAAAGACUUCUCGACUUUUGCAUGCAUUCAAAUACAGUCAGUGGCAAUUUGGUCUAUAAUCAAGCAUAUGGUAAUUUACUUUCAUGAAAAUUUUAGAGCGAAACACUAUGACCGUUAGUUAACACAUGAGAGUGAUGAGAGAAGAGUGACCCUAUUUUAUGUAGUUGUUAUAAUUCGAGGACUUAGCUUGAAUUAAAUUUGUUUAUAUUUGUCUUGUCUUGAUGUGUGGAUUGUUUCAAAACUAACAUGAGAUUGCUUAUUAUUUUGGGUCAUGAUUUUUAUAUCAUCAUUCAUACAUGAUUGUGAAAGUUAGACAUGAUACUUGCUUGAGGACAAGCAAGAGAUAAGCUUGAGGGGAUUUGAUGAGUAUAAAAUUAUGCUACAUUUGCAUUACAUUUAACUUGCAUUUUAGGACAUAAUUAGGAUUUCAUGAUUGUUUUUAGCUUUUAUUUCUCUUUGUUCGGGUUGAGUGGGUGUUUUUGGCUAUAUUGUGCAGUUUGGAUGGAUUAAAGCUAAAAAGAGUAGAGAUUAGAUGCAAGAAGAUGGAAUUCAGUGUUGAGGCUAUGUGAAGACUAAUUGAAGGCCAAAAGAAGUCAUAAAUAUUAUAUUAUAUUCCUAUUUUUUAGAUUUGUUUUGUUGGACUUAGCCCAAUAUUUUGUAAUUAGGAUAAAUGAAGUUUCUUCCUCAUGGAUGGUAACUUUAUACAUUACAUUACAAUUCUCUAAUUUAGAAUUUGAUAUUCUCUUCUCUAACAUGAGUGAGUAGUUCCCUUUGUUUCAAGGAUUGGGGCUAUGCCCUUUUACAUUCAAUAAAUAUUUGUUCUUACUUGAGUGUUGUGAUUUGAAACAUUAAACUGAGUUUGAUUCGUAUGAGUUGUCUGGCCAACAAAUUACACAUCUUAGAUACAUUGGGAAAGGACUGAGAGGUGAAUCAAACUAUCUUACCAUUUAGUUAUUCAAACUAGAAUCCUAAUUCACGAGAGUAAUAUUAGGAUUCUCGGGGGUUUUUAGAAUUCACCUUGGGCUGCUACGAAGCGAUUGAAAAAAAAGAUCCAAGUAAAGGAUUUGAUUGAUAAAUAUACCACGAGAGUAGGUGCGACUUCAAUUGAGUACACAUGUCGGAGCUCGAGAAAGAAUAACACAUAUCAAAGAACAAUUCACCUUCAUAACUUAAAGUUCAUGAAAAGGAGCAAAACAAUGAUUUGCGAGUGUAAAGGCGGUAACCCUUAUCCUGGAAACUCUUCCUAAAUUAGAUUUCAAUCCUUUUUUACUAUUUGCAUAAUUAUUCUUGCCAAUUGUUCAAUUGUUCUAAAUUCACUUUUAAUUCCUAUUUGAGUUAAGGAUAAAUUAAUUGUUAUAAUUCAAGGAGUUUUCCAAUACUCGUGGGAUCGAUAUUUUUUUACUUGAAGACAUAAUCGUGCAUUUGCGAUUUGUCCUAUCAAGACUCAAUUCAAACACAAAUUAAAGUGCAUAAGAAGUGACAAUGACAAGGAAUUUAUUAUGAGAGAUUUCUAUCUCUCCAAGGGAAUCUUGCAUCAAACUACAUGUAUUAAAACCCCUCAACAAAAUGGUAUUAUUGAGAGGAAGCAUCAACACAUCCUUGCUGUUGUAAGAUCCUUAAUUUUUCAAUCUAACAUUCCCCAAUGCUACUAGAACUAUGCAGUUUCACAUGCAAUACAAUUAAUAAAUAGGCAACCUAACAAAUUUCUUAACAACAAAUCCCCUUUUCAAAUCACAUAUGACUACUUGCCUGAUAUCAGAGACCUAAAGGUCUUUAUAAGCCUCUGCUUUGCUUCCACUCUACUUUCCCAAAGGAGUAAAUUGGAUCCUAGGUCCAGAAAAUACAUUUUCAUAGGUUUCAAGGAUGGAACCAAAGGUUAUAUUUUACUUGACUUAAAUACAAAUGAAAUUUUUUUAUCAAGAAAUAUCUCUUUCUUUGAACAUUCUUUCCCUUUUGAGAAGGUUAGUCAUCAAACUGCAGAUAAACAAAACCUUCCUAUACUACCUCUAAAUAGCUCUGACCCAUUCUAAUACCAAUUAUAUUAUUAUGCUCAGUCUACACCCAAUAAUGACAUUCCAAUAGAUGAUAACAACUCUACUGAUACCAUACCUGCUAGAUAUGCUAUACAAAGCUAAUGGUGAAAUAGAGAGAUAGAAGGCAAGAUUGGUAGUUAAUAGAUUCAACCAAAUAGGAGGGAUGAACUAUAUGGACACUUUCAGCCCAGUAGUGAAAAUGACAACAAUCAGAACUUUCCUUGCUCUUGCUGCCAUACAUAAUUGACAUCUCUACCAAUUGGACAUCAAUACUACCUUUUUAUAAGGAGACCUCAAGGAACUAACUUUCAUGCAAGUUAUGAGUUGUUUAUCCUAUCAUUAGUCAUCUCCAAUAUGUUUUAUAAUAAUGAUAAUAAAGUGACGAUUCAAAUGCUAUUGUUUCCAGUGGCGGAUCUUGACCGAAACCUUAGGAGAGACAAUAAUAUUUAAUUAUAAUUUAUAAUUAAAAUUAAUUAAAUAACAAAAAUAUAAUUAAACAUACAUUAUGGAUCAGAGGUAAAAUUUUCAACUAGUAUCUUCAUAAAAACGUCAAGUCAUUUGGGUGUAGGUAAAUGGAGUAUAUCUGCUCCAAAAAAUGUGUUAGUCUAUAUGUUACAUUUUAUAAUUUAAAAUUUUAAUAAUUAAGUAUUUUUAUGGCAAAAUAUAAUUAGUAACACAUAAAAUAACACACUUUAUAGGAUAAUAUUAUAUAUAUAUAUAUAUAUAUAAAAAUAUUAAUUUUUUUUCAAAAACCAGGGGGGCAGUUAACCCCACCUGUCCCUUCCAUCCUCCACCAUUGAUUGUUUCGUUUAAAUCAUUUAUUAGUUCUAGCCUUAUAUCGUUAGCAAAAACUAAUUUAAAUAUUGGGAAUUAAAUAAAGUCUAUUGAGAUUGAUUUUGAGUUUGAGUUUAUGAGUACUUAUGAAUCGUCAUUUAUUUAUAAAUAAAUAUAUUUGCUAAUGACAAUGGUCAUAGAGAUGAUACCACAAUGAUCAAUGAAUCUUCAUUAUUUUUGAUUUGUUAUGAAAUAUAGCAAUAAUUAUUUUAAGGAGAUGUUGUUUAUGAACACAAAAAAUAGUGAUUUCAUUAUCAAAUUUUGAAUGCAAAUUUGCAAAUAAACAUUUCAUCCUACCUAAUGAGUAAUUAAUAAUUAAAAGUAAAUUAUACCAACACUUCUUGAAGUUUAAUUUAAUUACACUCAUCAUCCUUUAAAGUUUAAAUUGAUAACAAUAUCACUCAUUUUUGUAUAAAAAAUUAUAUUGGUCCCUUGUAUGGAUAAUAAGUGUAAAAUAUAUAUAUAUAUAUAAAUUAAUGAUAAUUUGUGUACGUAUAAAAAAAGUAAUAAUUUUUAUAAUUAAACUAAAACUUAGAGAUUGUCAAUAUAAUUUACUCUAAAAAAACCAUUACCAUCUCAAAUUUAUGACCCAAUUUGAUAGCUCAAUUAUGUCUGAGAAACUUCACUACUAUUCAUUUAGUACAUCUAUUUUAAAGGAUUAUAUAAAGAGAAAAUUAUAUAUACAUCAAUUGUGUACAACUUUUAUUCACUGUCACUAUAUCAUUUACUAUUCAUUUUUAAUUAUCAUUGACUAUUAUAUAAAGUAAUACAUAUGAACAAUCGAUAAUACACUAACUAUGUAUAAAUUAUGAUAUGUAUUACACUCCUAUAUAUAUAUAUAUUUGGUACAAUGGAAAUAAAUAAAUAACACAUAGACUACAACAAACUAGAAUUGUCCAUUCGUUGGAUUUGGAUCGCUCCAAUAUGAGGAACGUCCCAAAUCACCUCCUUCUCAAGAAGCGUAGCACUAAGAGAAGCCAUAUAAUUUGUAAGCAUAUUCCCUUCUCUGAAAACAUGUUGAAUCUGCACAUCCCAAUCUCUAGUAAGCAAAUCAUGGAUUUUAUCAACAAUGAUAUUAAUAUAGUCAAUUUGAACACACAACUUGUCCAAAACUAUAUUAGUCACCUCCAAGCAAUCACUAUCCAAGAGAAGUGACCAAUAACCUAAGUUCCAAGCCAAAUGAAGACCAUAUUUCAUUGCCAUUAAUUCUGACUGAAUAGGAGUUCCGUUUCCAAAUUUUCUAGAGAAACUAGAAAGCCACAAACCAUCAUGAUCAUGGAGAACACCUCCACCUCCCAUAUCUUUGUCUCUCAAAUUGCAUCUACCAUCCACAUUAAAGUUCACCUUACCAUUGCCAAGUUUACACCAGAAGCCUGUAAACGAGGGACGGUAACUGAGAAAGAAUCUGCAAUGCUCCAAUCUCUAAAAUCGUGAUGCACAUUUCUAGUAACUUCGCCAAUCUCCCAAGAAGAAUUACAGAAAUUUGAAUUGUUCCGCCACCUCCACAUCCACCAGACACCCGCCAGGAAAAGACAACCAUUAGCAAGCCUAGAAUUCACCUCCACCCAGGAAAUGAAAGAGGUAUUGUACCAGAAAGUUGGAUCAUUAAACCCCAACUGUUUCCAAAGAAGAGUAGAAUUUCCACAAUCUCUGAAGGUAUGUAAGAGGUAUUCCACUUCGCCAUUACACCGACAAUAAUUAAGAGAGAUUGGCAAUUUCCUAUUGAACCUGAGAAGAUUGGUCGGGAGAGACUCAUGAGUUGAAAGCCAACAAAUAAAUUUCCCCUUUUCUAGGACUGGUAAUCUCCAUAAGUAUCUCCAAGAAGUAGGAGACUACCAAUCCCGACAGUAUGUUUUAACCACCUGUAACCUGAAUUCACUAAGUAGCUGCCAAUGGGACUAAGAAAUGACUGGAAUUAGUAGGUAUUGUAAUAUCACUUAUGAUCUCUUUCACAUGACUAGGAAGCAAAGUGUAUAAGCUAUCGAAAUUCCAACAGUUAUCUUUCCAAAGGUCCUUAACACGCAUCAGAGAAUAUGAAAUAUGAACAUAAUCUACCGUAGAGCACAAUUGACCCAUUCCCGUCCAAUUCUCAUACCAAAGUGAAUAAUUCCCAUCUCCUAAGUGCAAGGAAACCCCAUCUUUUAGGAUCAGUAAAGCCUUCGAAAUACUUUUCCAAAUUGGAGAAGCUGAAGAUUUAUUAGGAGCAUGAAGCAUCAACUUAUCCCCUAAAUAUUUCUUUUUCAUGACCUUGCACCACAGUUUAUUAUUAUCCUGAAGAAGCUGUCAACCAAGCUUACCCAGUAAUGAAACAUUAGCAGAACGAGAUUCACAAAUUCCUAACCCACCAUUAUUCUUAUGCUUGGUCAGAGUAUCCCACUUUACUAAGUUGAGGCUUCUUUUGUUCAAGUACCCACCCCAAACAAAGUUCCUGACAAUCCUAUCAAUAUCACAACAAGUACUCUGCGGGAGCCACAUGCUCUACAUUGUGUAAGUAGGAAGAGAAGACAUGACAUAUUUAGCGAGACAAAGUCUACCCGCUUUGUUGAGGAGAUUAGACUUCCAAGUACCCAUCCGCCUUUGGAUCUUCUAAAUAAUAGGAUUGAACACAUAUUUCCAGAUCCUUCCUUGGACGAGAGGAAUAUCCAAGUAACUACCUAGAUUAGACACUGCUCGCAUAUCACUAAUACCCAUAAAGCUAUACUUCCUUCUAUUAGCGACAUUCUUCGAGCACAUGAACUUAGAUUUUUCCACAUUAACUUUCAUCCCUGAAGCCUUGCAAAACUCCUCAACAGUAGCUUUCACAGUACUAACCUGGGAAUUAGAAGCCUUGCAGAAUAACAGAACAUCAUCUGCAAACAAUAAGUGCGAAAUGGGAGGACCUCUUCUAGAUAGCUUCAAGGGCUGCCAAACCCCUAAAUCCACCUUAUGCUGAAUAAGAAGAGAUAAUAUGUCCAUACACAUGACAAACAAGUAGGGGGACAUAGGAUCAUCUUGGCGAAGAGCUCGAGCUGGUGGAAACCCAUCCAAUCGAGUACCAUUCCAAUUGAAAGACAUGUGAGUAGAUCUAACGAACCACAUGAUGAGAUUGACAAUAGUACAAGGAAGCCCAAAAUCGAGUAGAGUCUGCUCCAGAAAGUCCCAGUUUACUCUAUCAUAAGCAUUUUCAAGGUCCACCUUGAAAGCCAUGACACCCUUUUUCUGCUUAGAUUUAUGGAUAAAGUGCACGACUUCUUGGGCAAUUAUAACAUUGUCAGUAGUUCCUCUGCUAGGGAUGAAGCUGUUUACGAGAACCUUUUUAGCACCUUGUAAGCAACAUUACAAAGACUACUCGAUCUCAACUCUUUCAAAGAUNNNNNNNNNNNNNNNNNNNNNNNNNNNNNNNNNNNNNNNNNNNNNNNNNNNNNNNNNNNNNNNNNNNNNNNNNNNNNNNNNNNNNNNNNNNNNNNNNNNNGUUAACUUUCGGAAUCAGAACAAUAAGAGUCUUGAGAAGGCGAGUGUCCGAAAAACCCAAACUAAAAGCAUUUUGGACAAUUUCCCAAAUGUCUUUUCCUACAAUAUACCAAUAUUUCUUAAAGAAAUAAGGUUGAAAACCGUCCGGCCCAGUGGCUUUAAAUGACUACAUAGCUAUGACCACAUUGGUUGUUUCUUCCAUAGUAAUCAGAGCCACCAAUUUCAGAGCCUCAUCCUCAGAAAGAGAAGGAGUCAACACGACACAACAACUAAGAUCAACUUGACUACUAACGCAUAACAAAUUCUAGAAAUAAUUAUUAGCUUCUUCUUUAAGGCGAGUCGGCUCAAAAUGCCACAAACCAUCCUCAAGAAAGAGACCAUGGAUCUUGUUCCUCUUCCUUCUCAGGAUAGUCUGAGUAUGAAAAAAAGUAGUAUUCCUACCACCAAAUUUAACCCAUUGCUUCUGGGAUUUCUGAAACCACAUCAUCUCAUCUUGCCUCAGAACAGUAUUAUACUCUCUCCUUAACUGAGCCUCAAGUCUUGAGAGAUCGUGAUUAUCUCUCGUUUCCAAACUAAGCUGAAUACCCUUAAUUCUGGCUUCAAUCCUUCUUUUCCUUAUGAAGAUAUUACCAAAAAUGUCCUUGUUGAAAAUUAGAGAGUUCUCUCUCACCCUUGCAAGACCAUCCAUCACUCUAUGUGAAGUAGACAACCAAGCAUGACUAACAACAUCAGUAAAAUCACGGUGAGAGGACCAAGCAGCCUAAAACCGGAAAGGCCUAUUAGGAGCAUCUAUCCCACCAUUACCACCACAUCGAAGCAGAAUGGGGCAAUGGUCUGAGUGAAGUUUAGUGAGGUUCUCAACGUAGGCUUCGGCAAAAUCUCUACGACAACAAUAAUCUGACAAGGCUCUAUCAAGACGCUUAGAAAUCCUCCUCCCACCAUGGAUCCUACUAAACCAUGUAAAUUUACUACCACUAGCUCCCAGAUCCAUCAAAGCACAAGCUUCCAACAUUUGAGAAAAUUUCCGAUAUGAAUGUCUAUUCAGGACUUCAGGUAAACAAAAUAGUCCAAUAGGUCACAUUUUAAAAAUUAUUUUCUAUUUUCUAUUAAUUAUUUUGUAUUUGUCUAAAUGGUGAAUUUAUAGAAUUUACAGAAAAUAUAAAGUUAAAAAUUAAAAAACUUCACAUACAUUUUCUUCUCUUUGUCAAAUUGACCGUAACUAUAUUCUAUUUAUGGUUUUAUGGAAAAUUCAAGGUUGAGUUUCUGAUCAUCAAGCACAUCAAUGUUGAUGAACACAAAAAGGUAGAAAAUGGAGGUUAUACUUUCUUAGCUUUUUUUUUUGUUGGUACUAUUAAGAGUAUUUUUUUAUUCCAUAAAUAAGUAAUCAAAGCACAAGCUUCCAACAUUUGAGAAAAUUUCCGAUAUGAAUGUCUAUUCAGGACUUCAGGUAAACAAAAUAGUCCAAUAGGUCACAUUUUAAAAAUUAUUUUCUAUUUUCUAUUAAUUAUUUUGUAUUUGUCUAAAUGGUGAAUUUAUAGAAUUUACAGAAAAUAUAAAGUUAAAAAUUAAAAAACUUCACAUACAUUUUCUUCUCUUUGUCAAAUUGACCGUAACUAUAUUCUAUUUAUGGUUUUAUGGAAAAUUCAAGGUUGAGUUUCUGAUCAUCAAGCACAUCAAUGUUGAUGAACACAAAAAGGUAGAAAAUGGAGGUUAUACUUUCUUAGCUUUUUUUUUUGUUGGUACUAUUAAGAGUAUUUUUUUAUUCCAUAAAUAAGUAAUUAAUCUCUUUCAAAGUGCAUGAUUGUUCCUUCCAACAAGUAUUGUUAUCAAAAAUUAAAUCUUUGAUCUUUCUAAAGAUCUAAUGAAGCUUUAGACCACUAGAUUAGCAUGAUAUUGGUUCUAAUCACUUUCUUUAUUCAUCAACUUUUUGGUAUUGCUGGAAUCAAUAUCAUUACUAUAUAUCCAGGACCUCAAUUACAUUCUACUUAUUUUUAAUUAAAAUUUCAACGGUGGGUGGCUAUGAUUUGCAUAUCAAUUAUAAAGGGGAAAUAUUUUAUGCAAUUAUUAAAUUGCGACUUAUUAUUUUUUACUUUCACGUGACUAUAUGAAAUAUUAUAGAAUUAGUAUUUUUUUAACAUUGUGGAUGUAAUCCAAGAUUUACAUCCUGGCUUACUUUUUCAUAUUUGUUGAUGAAACUCAUUUAUGUAAGGUAAGUUAAUCUUUUCAACAUUUUUUAAAAAGAAGGAUUGCUAAAAUGAUGUUGGAAAAGAACAUUGAAGGUCAAAUGGUGGAACACAGACUUUAUGUCCAAAAAGAAUUAUAUCCACAUAUUACUAUAUAAUAUUUUUUCUUUUUAAUUAAGUAAUAUUUUUAAUGGAAAGAGACAAGACAUGUUUUUUCUGUACAAUGCGUUAGAACUUAGUUGAAUAAGAUGAUACUUUUUAAAAUCCAUUGCAUGGGAAAGAGAGAAGAAAGCUGGUUCACAUAUUUUCGACGUGAGAUUUUUUGGAUUUAAUAUAGAGUGGUCGGAAUCUUCUGUUCAUGGGAAUAAAUUAUGUAUCUUUAGGUUUGACUAGGAUAUAUUUUCAUACAAAUUCUCUUACAUCAUAAUUACAAUAAUGUAAUAUUUUAAAUGAAUUAUUAAUAAAUUUUGUAUAUAAAAUAUAUGUUAUUUUUGUUAUGGGGUAAGAAAUUUAUAAUAAGAUAUAUGUUUUUUUAAAAGUCUCCUCCAUGAAGUUAGCUGAUCUUUAUAUAUUUUUCCAUGUGACAUUCACACCAUCAAAAUAAUUACUUUUAUUAAUAUGUAUAAUUUAAUUGAAAAUUCAUUAUGACAAGUGGAAAAUUUAGGUGGAUAGUGUUGGCAAACUACACUAUCAUACGUUUAGUAUAUGUUUCAAAAUAUUUAUAAGACUAUUGUAGAUUUAAUGGAAGUCGUGGAUGAUGUCCACGACUUUGGGGAAGUUGUGGAUGAUGUCCACGACUUUGGGGAAGUCGUGGACCAACAAUACGAGAUCACUUUAAUCUCGUGCAUAAGGGGCAUGAGAUACUGACAUACUUUCUCUCAUCAAGUGAAGUCGUGGACCAUAUGCACGACUUCCAUAGUUGUGUACCUGAAACACGACUUUGAAUGAGACAUGGUGAAUUUAAAAUAUUCGUUUUACACAUAUAUUGUAGGGUUAUUUAUUAUUUUAGGAGUUAGUUUUAUUGAGUAUAGUAUGAGUUUUUAAAAUAAGUUAAGAUUUGUAAUUUUUAGUGUAUAAAAAUAAUAUGUUUAAAUUAAAAUAGUAAGAUUAGAUUGAAUUUGAUAAUUUUAUUAAGGUGUUAGUGUUAAGAAUUUUAGUUAAAGUUUUUGAAUUUAUUUAAGAUUUAUUAUUUUAGUUCUUUAAAAUUUAAAUGCAUAAAUUAAAAUAAUAAGACUAAAUUAUGGAAAUGAAAUUGAUAAUUGUAGUACGAAUUGGAAAAUGAUUACAUUUAAAAAACAAAAGAACGAGAAUACAAAUUCCUAAUGGCAUCUAUGAGAUGAUGUUCCACAUUCAGGUGUCUUCCUCCUUCCAGGUGGUUGGAGUCUUAAUUGUUGUUGUGGUUGACGUUGUCUUGCUUGUCCACUUCCACCUCUAACUAGUUGUGCCUCCUCCUCAUCUUUGUCGUCAUCAUCUUCAUCAUCUUCGUUAGGUUGUGAAGACAUUGUCAGCUGAUAAUAUUGUUAAGAGUUGAAUGCCGACAAUAUAAUGGAGUAUUUGAAGUUGUGUCAAACAUUAAUAGCAUUCCUUGAAAUUGUGAAGAAGAUGUGAAGUGAGAGAAAGAGUAGUCACCCAUUGCUCUAAAACCAUCAAACCCGAAGGGUUAUUGUUGUUGUUGUUGAGGAGCAGGAGUUUGAGUGUAUGCUUACGGAUAUGUAUCCGUCUGAGUUUGACUCUCAUAAUGCUACUGAAACUCAGGUGCAUCAGACAUAUUAAACUCUUGUGUAGGAGGAGCUUGAUAAGUAGUUGAGGAGAAGACAGUUGGAAGUGGUUGAGAAAAUUCUUCCAUCAUCUCAUUACAGUUUAGGUAGACGUCAUUUAAUGUAUGCAUCAGAUUUGGAGACAUAUUUGUAGGAGCACACCGAUUUCGAAUCUUUCUAAUAAAAUUGUACUGAAAAAAGGUGGAAUAAUGAAUAUCUGACUACAAUUUAAGAUAAAUUAGAAAUAGAAAAAUUAAAAUUCUUACCGAUCCAACCGAAUAUGCUCCGUCUAGAGAGAUGUGUUUUCUAGUCCUUUAUAAGUACCAUUGCAUAUGUUUCGAGUAGUGAUACAAAAGCUGGUUAUCGGGAAAACCAUUAACACAUAGUUUUCCCGGUUAUUCCAUAUAUGAAUCCAUUGGUCAUGAUUUUAUGGUCAGUUGUAGUCAUUUUUCUCACGUAGAUCCAUCUUGUAUUAUUUCUCUAGGUUGAUUGGAUCUUGUGGGAUAGAUUGUUAUAGACCAAACUGCCUCACAACUCGAUCAGUAGCAUGCCACUCAACAACUGGAAAGUAGAUGAGUGACACACAUGCUCAGACUGUAUAUGGUAUUGGGCCUACAAAGAUAAUGUUCCUAUAUGGGGUCCAAACAAACUGAUAUAUAAAAAUAAAUUAGUAAUAAAUUAAUAAUAAAAAAUAAUAUAGAAAUAAUAAAAAAUAAAUUACAAAGAACAAAUUACAUAAAUUACUAAUCAAUGGGCAAAUGAUCCAACAUUGACCUUAUUAUGUUGGUUGCAUGACGAUGAAUGUUGGUGGUGAUUACAUGUUGCGACCACCUAAAAUAUACAGUUAUAUGAAGUUAGUAUGUUAGCUGGAAUAAAUAAUUUGAAAUGUAAACUUAUAUAAUUUGAAAGAAAUUGAAAAUAAUAUUUCCUUUGGGCUAAAGGGAAUAUUUCUAAUUCGUCGUCGUGUAGUCUUAGAGCCAACAUCAUGAUGCAGUCAUAUGCCCAUGACUGUAGAAGUAGCAAGCAUCCUCCAAUUUCAAUCUGACGACUUAUCAAUGCUGCACGAUAUAAUCCUUGAUAUAGACAUGUCAAUACAGUUGAACCCCAAUUGUAUUGGUAUGUCUGUGAUAAGUCCUCCAGCAAUUGAAGAUACAUUAGGUGGACUCGUGACCCUGAUGUAUAUAGCAUCAGGAACCCUCCAAUCAUACGCAUUAUGAAGGCUCUUGCAUGUUGUUCAAUAACAACAUCAUCAGCACCUAUCGGGAGCACUUCAAAUAUGGAGUAUAGCCAACUCUUUGGACCCUUUGGCCCAUAAUCUGUUUAUCGGUUGGGAUAACAUCCAACAAGUUGAGACAAACCAUUUCCCAAUUUGUGCUUGUCGUACCAGUAACAGCAGCUCCAUUAAUAGGUAGCUCAAGCAGGUAGUGGAAGUUGUACCAUAGCCCUGCUUGAUUCCCUGUCCCGUGCCCUAGCCUGUGCCAAGCUCGUGGAUGUGGUGUAUGACUUUAGUUGGAGUCAUGGAUGCGGUGUAUGAGUUCUGUUGAAGAUGUUUCACUUGCCCUAGGACAUUUAUGUCACCCACCUAACGGUUAGAAAAAGCAGUAAAGGACCUGUUUGGAACUCGUGAAUGAUGACCACGAGUUUCAUUUAAUCUACGCCAAUCUCGUGGAUAUGGUCCACGACUUCCACCUUGGUAAACGCAAAACCAGAAUUUUCUGGUGCUAAUUGAAAGAUUUGUAUUUAUUGAUAUAAUUGAAGUGUUUGGUGGGAUUUAAUAGUGUGUAAGUUAUAUUUAAUUAGUGUAUAUAAGUAGGUUUUAUUGUAUUUAAUUAGAGUUUAUUGUAUUUAAUUAGGUUUUGGGGAAUGUAAUUAUGGUUUAUUGUAUUUAAUUAGGAUUAGGGUAUUCAAUUAGGGUUAGGGUUUAUAAUUAGGGUUAAGUUAUUUAACAAGUUAAUGUUAUAUAAUUCGAAUGUAAGAGUACUUAGAAUUUCAAUAUAUUACACAAGUUCUAACAUUACAUAACUUAGGUUUGCCUUGAACUUUGAUCGACAUUUAUACUUUUGAAUGAACAUUUCUUCUUAUUGUGUCCUAAAGUCCUACACCACCCACAUUUUUUAAUUUGUUGGGAUUGAUAAUCAUCCUUCUCAUUGUGUAUGCGUGUAGUUUUGGCCUUCCGAUAUGGUUCCUACGCAUAAGCGGAUUAGGAAUAAAGAUUGGGCCUGAAUAAAGAGGCCAUUAUUCUUCAUUUACAAUGGGUUGAAACUCAUGUCCAUAAACCUUCAAUAAGUUCUCUAACCGAUAAAUUGGUGAGAUAAAUUUCCCAUAAUCUAAGUUUAAUGAUGCACAUAUAGCGAUAACAUGGAAGCAUGACAAUCUAAGUGACUGAAAUUCCUCACUGUGUAUACCCUUGAGUGUUGACUCCUACCGGUACCAGCAACCUUAACCUCUGAGACUCCCAUUUCUCGUGAAAAACUACGUACUACUUGACAUGUAGCUUUUCGGUAAUUUUCAUUGAUCACCUUAGUCAAUUCUUCACAAUAUACAUGAUCUGCCCUUAUCAUAUUAUGCUUCAUUUCUAUGAUGUAGAAACCAUUAAUUCAAUGUAUGAUAUGUUGCUCUAACAAGGAUAGUAAUGGGCAAGGCUCUUGCUUUUUCAUAACAGUUUAACACAUUUUGCCAAGUUCGUCGUCAAGCUAAUGUCCUCGGAUUUUUUAACACAAUACCGCAAUUAUUCGCUCGAAUUGAGGUCACAUCAACUCAUACCCUAUAACAAGUUUACCCAUAUUAACAUAAAUCACAAAAAUAAAUAAUUUAACAUAAAUCACAUAAAUUUCAAUAUAUACCCAUUUCGAUGACUUUUUAUUUCAUAUCAUUAUCUCGGAACUCCUUAUUGAAAUUGCUAGCAACAUGACGGAUGCAAUAUACAGAUUGUGCAUUAAACCAUUGUGGAAGCACAACACGAAGUGUACCCACCAAACAUGUACCCCUAUAUGAUAUUAUACAAAUGUUCGGUUGUAAGGUAACAUAUGUUCGAAGAUUGUAGAAAAAUCAUUUCCAUGUUUCUUUGGUCUCUCCUUCCACAAUGAAAAAUGCUAUUGGAAAUAUACGUCUAGUACCAUCUUGUGAACUAGCUAUUAGUAAUGUUCCAGUAUAUUUUCCCAUCAAGAAUGUGCUAUCCACUUGAAGGAUUAGUUUACCAAAAGCAAAUCCUUCAAUACAUGGAUUGAAAGCCCAAAAUACCCUAUCAAUAAUUAAAGUAUUAUAUUCUUUAUAGUUAGAUAUUGAAUAUCUUACAAUUGUAUCUGAUGUAUAAUAUUUGACAACAUUCAACUAACAAGGUAACUCUUUGUAUGAUUUCUCCCAGUCAAUAUAUAUUUGGGACAUUGCUAUUUGUUUAGCAGUCCAAGUCUUCCUAUAUGUCAUCUUAUAACCAAAACGAGUUAAUAACUCUUUCACUAAUGCUUUAAUUGGUAUACCAAGAUCUUUAUAUACUAAUUGAACAAUAUAGUUUGCGAUGAAUGAUGAGUUCAAUUUCGUGUGAUCUUGAGAAAUAUUAGUGGAUAUACAAGUGUGUCUUCCACUAAUUUUUCUAAUCUCUCAAAUAUCACGUUUCACAUUUUUUUAUGUCUGAGUUCUCCAUUCAUAACCAACAUCAUAAUAUUUACAUUUUGCAACAUAUAUAUCUGGCCUAGACUCAUCCACAUGGUAAUCAACAGAAUUCCUAAUAUGAAACUGUUUAUAAUAUUUAUUGUUGCUUCCUUUGAAUCAAAUUGCAUACAAACAAACAGAUCAUUAUCAAAAAUUCAAAAUCAUUACCUAUGUCACUACUUUUGUAUGGAAAAUCUUGUCCAUAUUGAUAUAAUCAAUGUUAUCAAAAAAAGAUGAAGAGUAGCGUAUGUUAUGCUAACCAGUUCACUAGUGACAAUUUGAACAUCAACAUUAUCAUCAUCACCACCAGCACAUAGCUCAAUAAUUUAUUCGUCACUAAAAUCACUAACAAUAUAUCUAAUAAUGACCAUCUACAUAUAAACAUAAAGUAAUGUUAAAUAAAAAUUAAUACAAGUAAAUGAAAUUAAUAACAUAACAAUAUUUUACUUACAUUGUAUAAUGAUAAUUCUUAUAUUUUUCUUUUCUUCAUUCGGUAUGAUUUGAGCUGGGGGGUAGACGAGUAUAUAUGUUGUUUGGAUCUCGUGCAUGGUAUACACGACUUGGAUGUCGUGUUGUACGUCCAUGACAUUGCCAUGAAAGUCGUGUUGUACGUCCACGACAUUGCAAUGAAAGUUGUGGUCCUCGUCCAUAAGUUAUGUCAACUCUGACAUGAUAUAAGAAUCUCGUAUUGUUGGUCCACUACUUUCCCAAAGUCAUAGACAUCAUCCACGACUUCAAUUAAAUCUACACUAGUUCCAUAAAUAUUUUGAAACAUAUACUAAAUGUGUGAUAGUGUAGUCAAACUACAUUAUCUAUAUAAAUUUUCCUAUGACAAGUAUUAUCAUAUAUCAAGUUUAAGGUAAUUAUAUGUUAUUUAUUGCUUAAUUCAAAUUUCAAAGUGGUUUUAAGAUUGUUGUACAGGUACCUUGGUGAACGUAAAAUGUAAAAAAUUGAGGGAAGACUCUAUUUUUGUCUGUACUUGAAAGUUUUCUCUAAACUAUUGAUAUAAAUAUGAUAUCCACCCUGGAUAUAAUAAUUUAUCCAACGUGACAUCAAUCUAUAUAUCAUAUAUCUAACUUGCCAGCAAUCACAUUGUACAUUGUUCUUAAUUAAAAUUUCAAAUUCAACUCACAUAUAUAUUUUAUUUGAAGUUAACUUUACAUAUAUAUGUGUUUAUUGUCCUCUGACUCCAGCACACAACUACUUCAUUCUCAUUCCAGAGGUUCAUGAGUAUACCACCUCGGACAGAAAUAGGUACAUUCGUAUGCCCUUAUGUCUUUUUUCUGGGCCUUUGACCCCUUAAUUUUUGUUCUUUUCUUUUGAAUGAAAAAUAGUACUAUAAGAUAUUUUCAUUAAGAUAUGUCUUAAGAAUAAGAUGGAGUAUUGCAAAUUUGUGCUUGAUCGAUAUUAGUUUUUUUAUUAAUUUUUCUAAGAUAACGUUGUUGAUCAUCUUCCAUGCCCUUCAGAGAUUGCUUUUACACCACUAUUGCUUGUUCCUUGGAAGGAGUUCAUAGAAGUUGCUCACAUAUUCAUACAAACUUGGUUCUCCAGGUACACCCAUAUCUUAUUCACUCAUGUUUAUUAAUUUCAGCUGAUGCUAUAAAAAUAUAAUGAUAUUAUAAAUAUGAAAUUUGAAAAAAACAAUAUUACUAUUUAACAUUAAUCAGAUAGUAAAAUAGGAUAAUAAUAAAAACAUUGUUUGAACUAAUAAUUAAAUAAUAGGCCACGUAGGUCCCUAAUUGGAAACUGGAUCAAUUGUCGUCUCACGGUCCCGUACAAAUAAAUAUUUACUAACAAAUAGAAAAUAACACUUCAUUUUAAUUAAGUUUUAUAAAAAUAAUGCAUUAGAUUCAUAUGUCCACAUAAAAAUGGGCAGAACAGAAUUAAAGACAUCAAAUUGGGACAAAUAAUUAUCUAGAUCCCUAAUUAAGGCAUCUACAUAUCUCAAUGUUCUUAGGAGAUAAUGAUAAGUUUCAGGAACUAAACUUGUCUAGUCUGAGAUUAUAAGAAUUAGCUGCAAGUCUAAGUGGUAUUAUAAAUUUAGAUCCACUUUAGACAAAAAAAUAAUUCAACAUGAAUAUAUGAAUAACAUGUCGUUUGAAUUGGGUUUAUUAGUUUAUAUUAAGAUAUGUAAUCUAAUCUGAACUAAAAAUUAUAUGUGAUUUUAGAUUGUUUGAUUGGUUUUUUUUAAUAAAACAUAUUACAUUUCCCAGCCUAUUUUACAAGAACUCAUCAUGCAAGUCAAAGAAAAGUUCCAAGCAUAUAUAUAUUUAUUGUAUAUAUUUUAUACAGAGAAAUUAUACAUGACAUACCAUAUGUCCAAAUAAAAAGAUGAUGCACAAUUCAUGUAUCCUUCAAAACAUCACAAAUAUUCACUUUUAGUAUCAAGUAAAAUAGUCUAUCUUAAUAAAAGUUAAACAUGAUCCAAAUAAAUUAAGUUUUUUUGCGGUUUCGUUUUUUCAGAUCAUUUUUCUGUUUUUGUUUUGGAUUGGUCUAGAGUUGAAGACAUGCAGGUACCAUUUACAAGUUUCCAUUCUACAUUCCUCUUUUGGAAUCACUCAAAAGCUCCAAUUUAUUUGUAUGAUUAAUCCUAACUUUGGUGUACUACUGAUUUAGGAUCCCAAGCUCAAACAUGAUUGAAGUCGAGCUCGAUAGAUAAGAAACACAAAUCAUCUAUGUCAAAAUAUUUCUAUCUCUUUAUUUCCAACUGAUCAAAUAUUACAAAUUGUAAUGUUGUUAACUUAAAAAAUAAUUGAAUAUUUAUCAAAAUUCUAUUUGUGAUAAUGGGUUGAGCAUAAGAAAUUGAAAUAUAAGAACUCAAUUCUCAGACAAAGUGGUGGUGGUGGUAUACGUAGUAUGAGAUUUUUUUAUCAUGUGUUCUCCCCCACUAUUAAACCCUUGUAUGGUUGUACCCCAUGAUACACACUUUAAGCUUGAACUUUAAGGUUUAUAAACAGUUUUGAAAUGUUUACUUCAUCGUAUGUGUGACAUGAAGUUUUUUUAUUCUUUUGAUAGUAUUCAGUAUUCACUCACGUAAGGAACUAAUCCCACAAUUCAUAUAUGUUUACUCUCCCAAUAAGAUUUACUAACUGAAAUCAAGCCCUAAUCAUUUUUUAAUUUAUUUGAGGAUAUACUACUUUGUGUUGUGUGAAUCAUAAAACAGAGGGAAGAAGAAGAAGAUUGAGUGAAGUAGAGAAGUAUAUUAUUUCAGCAAAGACAAGGAACAAUCAAAUAGUUAGAUUACAAACUACACUUGCUAUAUAUAGUUGCUCACAACUAACUGCAUUACUAUAUUUGGAAAGUAAACUAACUAUCACAAAAACUGAAUUAUGAAUUAACAUCCCUCCUUAAUUCAGUUUUCCUUUGAUGCCACUACUCCUAUUUUGAUUCUCAACAUCUCAAACCUCUCCUUCUUCAAAGGUUUAGUUAGGAUGUCAGCUAGCUGCACUCCACUUUUGCAGAAAUCAAGCUUCAAUCUCCCUUUGCUUACUUGACUUCUUAAGAAAUGAAAUCUAGUCUCAAUGUGUUUACUCCUGCCAUGUGAAACUGGAUUUUUAGUAAGGUUUAUUGUUGAUUUGUUAUCCACAAACAACACCAUACUCUUUUCAUUUCUUAUCUUCAUUUCUUCAAGUAGAGUUUCAAGCCAUAACACCUGACAAGCAGCCAUACAAGCAGCAAUGUAUUCUGCUUCACAAGAAGAUAAGGCAACCACAUCUUGCUUCUUUGAGCACCAAGAGAUUGGAGCAUUUCCAAGCAAAAACAAAUACCUUGUUGUGCUCUUCUUGUCAACUUUAUCUCCACACCAGUCAGCAUCACUAAAUCCAAACAUAUCGUGAUUGAGAUUGUUGGUUUUGCAGGGAAGUAGUAAGCCAAGCUCAACUGUUCUCUUUAGAUACCUAAGCAACCUUUUUGCUGCUAGUAGAUGAGUCUUCUUAGGUGUCUCCAUAUGUCUACUGACCACUCCUACACCAUAUGCCAUGUCUGGUCUUGUAUAUCAGACAUAUCUCAAGCAUCCAAUCAUCUGCCUAUAGAGAGUUUUAUCUGCAAGUUGAUUUUCUUCUUCAAGAGUUUGUGAUAUGUUCCCUGAUUCAAUAGGCGUUGAAGCAAAGUUGCAGGUUUGCAUCUGAAACCUCUCUAGUAUGUCAGUGGAGUACUUUUUCUGGUGCAUGAAGAUCUCAUCCUUAAUUCUUUUGAACUCAAUUCCUAGGAAGUGGGCAAGGUUCCUUAGGUCACUCAUCUCAAAUUUUGCCUUCAUGCUAUCUUUAAAUGCCUCAAUUUCAUCUAUCUUGCUUCCUGUCACCAACAGAUCACCAACAUACAAGCAGAUUAUGAGCAAACCAUUCAAGCUUGACCUUUUUGUGUACACUCCAUACUCAGUUGUGCACUUUACAAACCCAAGCUGCAAUAGUUAUCCAUCUAUUCUUUUAUUCCAAGCUCUUGGAGUUUGCUUGAGCUCAUAGAGUGCCUUAUGCAACAUGUACACAUGGUUUUCCUUGCCUACAACUUCAAAACCUGGUGGCUGAGAGACAAACAUUUCUUCUUAUAGAGGUCCAUUAAGAAAAGCUGACUUGACAUCCAUCUGUUGGAUUGUCCAGCCAUGAUAACUUGCCAAUCCCACUACCAAUCUUAUGGUUUCCAUUCUUGCAACAAGUGCAAAGACUUCAUCAUAGUCUAAGCCUUGUUUUUGUGAGAAACCCUUUGCAACAAGCCUAGCUUUAAAAUUUGUUACUUCUCCUUUUGCUUGAGCUCAUAGAGUGCCUUAUGCAACAUGUACACAUGGUUUUCCUUGCCUACAACUUCAAAACCUGGUGGCUGAGAGACAAACAUUUCUUCUUAUAGAGGUCCAUUAAGAAAAGCUGACUUGACAUCCAUCUGUUGGAUUGUCCAGCCAUGAUAACUUGCCAAUCCCACUACCAAUCUUAUGGUUUCCAUUCUUGCAACAAGUGCAAAGACUUCAUCAUAGUCUAAGCCUUGUUUUUGUGAGAAACCCUUUGCAACAAGCCUAGCUUUAAAAUUUGUUACUUCUCCUUUUGGAUUUAUUUUUGCCUUGUAAACCCAUCUUACUGUAAUAGCUUUCUUGUCACUUGGUAAUUGAGUGAGUUUCCAAGUAUGAUUCUUCUCAAUGGAAUAGAGUUCUUCCUUCGUUGCCUCCAACCAAUAGUUGUGUUUUAUUGCAUCAUCAAAAUUCACAGGUUCCAUUUCUGCCAAUAAUGCCAUGUGAACUAGCUCCCCCUCUGUAGUGAUUUUUGAAUCUGGAAAGAUCUCAUAAUCACUCAAUCUGGGUGGAGCUUGUCUAUUCCUAUGAGGUCUUCUCUUAUUCUGAUCCUCAAUUGCAGAUGGUUGCUCAACAAUCACUGGUGAUUCUUCUGCUACUACUUCAUCAAGGUGCAUUAGAUGUAUUUUUUCUAAGUUGUCAGUGUUGUUGUCCCAAUUCCAGCCUUGUGACUCAUCAAACUUCACAUAUCUUCUUAACAUGAUCCCCUGAGUAAGUGGAUUGAAGAUUCUAUAGGCUCAAGUGGAGUGAUAGCCAAACAAGAUCAACUUCUCACCCCUAUCAUCUAGCUUCUUCCUCUGCAUCUCAGGUACAUGUUUAUAGCAAAUAGAACCAAAAAUUCUAAGGUGACCAACAACAAAGGCAAAAGAACAGUCAAAUAGUUAGAUUACUCGAAUUAGUUGCCUUUGCUGAAAUAAUAUACUUCUCUACUAUUUUAGUUGCUUUCUGGAGCUUGGGUUUAUUUGAAGAUGUUGAUAGCUUGGCUCAUGCAAGAAAUAGACUAUACUGCUUGGUAACAGAGCUGAAGUCACCUUGUUUAUUGCUUGAGGAAGGAAAAGAUACUAAAUCCUUUACAAUGCAUGACGUUGUCCAAUGAGUAGCUAGAAAGCUGGCAUCCAGAGAUAGGCCUAUAUUUGCGGUUAAACAGUAUAGUGAAUUGAAAAAAUGGCCGGAAAUUUAUAAGAAGUGCUACCGUAUGUUUUUGCCUGAAUGUCGUAUCCAUGACCUUCCCAAGAGCUUGGAAUGUCCAGAGUUGGAGAUACUCGAACUUGGAUGCCAAAAUAACUUUCUGAAGGUACCUGAUUCCUUUCUUGAAGAGACAAAAGAAUUGAAGUGUCUGUAUCUAAGUGGAUUAGAUUGCAUACCAUCCCUUGCUUCAUCUCUCUACCACUUGCCAAAUCUUUGUGCACUGCAUCUCUGUGAAUGCAUGCUAGAGGAUAUAGCUAUACUUGCAGAACUCAAAAAUCUUGAGAUCCUUGACUUUAGUAAUUCAGAGAUUAGAGAGCUCCCUCCAGCUAUAGGGAAUCUUACUCGUCCCAGGUUGCUAAAUUUAAGUAAUGUCUCUGGAUUGAGAGCAAUUCCUGCAAAACUUAUAUCAAGCCUGCCACACUUGGAAGAGCUGUAUAUGGCCAACUUCCGAUAUAAGGAGGGAAAGUAUUGAUCUAUGGUUUCGGGAAAUUUAUUUAAGAUGGAUAGUGAUAUUUUUAUGAAUGUGGGUGGCUUAUCCACUAAUGGUGCUAGCCUGGGUGAUUUUGAAUGGCAUAAGGAUUUUGAUGCUGCUAAGAUUUACAAAUCAUGUCUGAGAAGUCCCCAUCUGUAUAUCCAGGGAGAACUAACUAAAGUUGGUUCAUUAUCUGUAGAGAAUAGAUUGCUUCACUAUCUGAUUGCGUACAUUCUAGUUCAGAGAAACACCAAUUAUGCACAACCUAUUGUUAAUGAUUUGAAAUUCAUGUAUGUUGUUAAGGAAAAUAUCAUGAUUAAUUGGCCUGAGGAGAUCCUGAAGGUCAUGUAUAAUGUGUCUACCUCGCAAUCCAAGUUGUUGCCCUAUUAUAUAUUCAUAUCGAGGGUCAUUGAUUAUCUGCAUAUUGACGUAUCUGACACCUUUAUCACAAAGACUUUAGAUAAAGAUCACCUUGUUGGUGAAAGCCUAAUCCAUAAGAUGGGUAUCUACAAGUAUGGAAGUACUUGGCAAUACCAAGAGGAUUACACUAUUGUGGAUUUGGAUCAAUCUAAUUGUCACGACUCAAUUUUCGGAUGGAAGACCAGCUCUACGACUUGGGAGGAGGUGAACUCGAUUUCUACCUCUCCCAGCUUAUUUGGAGUCGCCACUACAUUUUUUUUGCGGUUAAAACAUAGAAAACACUCUAGUAUGCCCAAAUUGGAUAAGAAUGGUCUUUAAACAGAGAUUCUGAGCUCGGGAGUCGAUUACGGGUCGAGGAAGGUAUUAGCAUCUCGUCUGCCCGUAUUAAAACGGUACCCUUGCUAAGUAAAUGGACUUUUAUACCAUUAAAAUUAUUUAUUUAAAAUUCAAUUAAUAAAACAAAAUAUUUUUAUUUUUUAUAUUUGUGUCUGACAAGAGUUUAUUUUGCUCCUAUGUAUCCCUGAAUGCAAUAGGGAAAUCAAGACUACGUAGUUCUAGUUCAAAAAUAGUGGUUAAUCAAAAUAUAAUUUGAAUUUUUUUAGUGUCUUACAUAGACUUUUGGAAUAAUUGAAUUUGAAUUGUUUGUGAGAUAGAUGAAGCAGCAAAGUUAAUGUCCGCACCGCAUCUAGUCUCAAAUAGGUUUUUAGAAAUAGUUUUAGUUUUAAUUGUUUGCGAGAUAGAUGAAGCAGCAAAACUAAUGUCCGCAUCGCAUCCAAUCUCAAAUAGAUUUUUGAAAUAAUUGAAUUUAUAUUGUUUGUGAGAUAGAUGAGGCAGUAAAGCUAAUGUCCGCACCGCAUCUAGUCUCAAAUAGGUUUUUAGAAAUAAUUUUACUUUUAAUCAUUUGCGAGAUAGAUGAAGCAGCAAAGCUAAUGUCCGCACCACAUCUAAUCUCCAAUAGAUUUUUUUAAAAUAUAUAAAAAAUUAUUUUUAUUAUGAAAGUAUAGUUUUUAUUAAAACAAAUAUUAAUUUUAUUUAGGUUGAAAUAUGAAUCAUCAUUUAAUAGCUAUGAGAUAUUAACAUACUAGUUAACAAUCUCUUUAUUUAAAAUGGCCUAAACAAGGACAUUAAAACAAAACAAAUAAAUAUAUAGAUAUAUUAUGAAGAAAUAACAACAAAAAAUUUAAAUCAACAAAAACAUUAAAAGGUAAGAAUGUAAAAGGAAACGUAUUCGGUUACCCCUUCACAAAUUAAAUUUGGGAUUGAAAUCCCUUAUUCAUCUCUUUUCUUUUCUCUCACGGCCAAAAGGGGUAGGAUAGAAAUCCUAAACUCCCUAGCCACCCUCUUCUUCUCUUCUUCGCCUUGUUCUAGAGACGGGUUUGCGAUUCGGGUCGCGAUGGUUCUUCGACGAGGAGGUGGUUCGUGGUUGGGUCACCUCUUCUCCCCUUCGACGGCAGCAACGGUGGUGAGGUGCAGUGGUUCGAUUGAUGAAAGUGGAAUCACGGUGAAGAACGCCGAUUACCACGAUGGUUUGAAGAAAAGGUAAUCAUUUUCCUUAUUUCUCAUGAACCCUCACCAUCUCCCUCAUAGAGACUUAUUAGGGUUCUAGAUUAGUAGUGAUAAGGGAGUAAUCCCUUUUCUAUUGAAAUUUUGUCUAAUCUUAUUGCCGGUACUAAUUGGUGGUGACGUGUAAUAUGUAAACUAAAACAUAUUUCAAUCAUGUGUUUUUUUUAUUUACGUUCUAAUCCAGUAUAUGUGUUUCUAUGGAAUGAUCGGUGUUAUGUAUGUAAAAAUAUUUGGGUCAAAAGCUAAACUGGACGUAAAUCAUAUUAUCUUGCUUUAAGGUUACGGCAAUGCACCGUUUGUUUUCAUCUAUUUCGUUUUUACUUAAGUAGGUAGAUGUUCCAUUGAAACCACUGUGUAUGAUCAAUUAAAAAACAUUUAUGAAUUAAGCAUAUAAAGCAUAUAGAGCAGGGUAUGUUUAUGGGAUAUGCGUGUAUGCGUUGAUGCUCAGGGCACAUAUAAAACAUUGUUUUUUGUAGUUUGAAUGCUUACCUGAGUGUAUGCUCUCUUCCUUUGUCCUUCUGAAUGUUGGUUCUCUGUUUAUAGAGGCUAUGCCUCUAUGUAUGUGGUGAUAUGUGUGUAUUUGUGUAUGCUCUGAAUGUUCUCUUUUUAUCACUAUGUGGUCUUUGUGUAUAUGCUCAAUUUUUCUGUUGCAAUGUAUGUGUUUCUUGUGCACACACUGUGAUGUUGUAUAUGUUUCUCUCUGGUUGUUGUAUUCUCUGUUUUGGUAUUGUAGUCUCCGUUUUUGUUUCUCUCUGAUUUUCUUAUUGUUGUGUAUGUGUAAUCUGCAUCCUUUUUAUACUGUUUGUAGGCAGACCCUUAGGCUGUCAAUUUUGAUUCAGUAACUGACAAGGAUUAUGCUCUAUGAUUGCCCUUUAUUGCUGCAAUUAAGUUGAUUUUGUAAUUGGCAAGAAUCUUUAGAUCAUCAUUAUGAUUAUUUUAUUAAUUUUUUCAUAUAUAUCAAUAUUACUAUAUUAAUCACUUUUAAUUCUGAAAUUUAUUUGUCCAUCAUCUUCUCAAUCAAUUUUAUAUUUUGAUUGUAGUUUCCUCUGAAUAUCAAUGUUGGUUAACCAAUAUUGUUGCAUUGUUACUAGUGUGAAUAUGAUUGCAACGAUUCUAUUGUUGGUCUAUUAAUAAUUUAAUAAUAUAUUUAUAUAAAUAUAGAUUUUACUAAUUAAUAAAGUUUAAGAGGUGAUUAAGAAGAAAAAAUAGUUUAGAGUGACUACUAGAAAAAGGACAUAGACACUAUUCGGGAAAACUAGCUUGUAAAUGUGAGCUCGUAGCUUGUAGUUGUGAGCUUGUAGUUUGUAGCUGUGAAGGUAGCUCGAAGCUUAUAGUUGUAAAAGUAGCUAAUUAAACUUGAGUUGUUCGGUAAAACAAGUUUUGUAUCUAGCUGGAAUUUAAAAAAUAACUAAAAAGGACAUACAUUAUUUAUUUAUUAUUUAUUUUGUUAUUUAUUAAUGGGAAAAGUGUAUAAAAACUUCAUAAAUUUUAUGUUUUCUUUUUUGAAAACUACCACUAUAAACUUUCUAUUCUCCUUAAUUGGUCCUCAAACUCUAACAAGAGAAAAACUUGCCUAGAGACUAAUAUAACACAUCACUUUUAAAGACAACUAAUAGAAUAAUGACAACUCAUAAAAAUUAAAUUAAUUAAAUUUUAAUAUGAAAAAGAUAAAUAAAAUAAGUAUUAAUUUUUAAUCCCAUAAUCUUUCUCCUCACUUAUCUCUUCCUUAUCUGCAGUUACGUUUCAUCUCCUCUUUUCUCUUUCUAUCCUCAUUUCAAAUUAAAAUCUUUCUUCUUCUUCGUAUAUUUCUUCUUUCUUGUUCCUUUCCUUUUGCAUUUCUUCCUUUUCUCACUUGUAACUUGGCUUCUGAAAUGUGCAAGAUGUGUUUGGUUUUAUCCUUUUACUUUGUUAUGGUAUAAGAAAACUAAAGUCACUUGACUUUUCAAAUGUGCACAAUCUAUUAAGUACUUGAAUUCUUCCAGUUCCACACUAAAUUUUGUACAUACAUGCUAUAUUUUGUACCUACAUAACCUUUUUCCCAACCCAAGUGAAAUACAAACUUUACAGCAGGACACCACGUGAUGAGCAUUACAAGAUGAAAUAUAUAGAAACUGGUCCACCACGUUAUUAUUAUCAUUCAUCACACACACCACUACUCUUUAAUAUUUAACAGUAAUAUAUAUUAUGGAGAUAAGAAAGAACAACUGAUUGAAGAAAAAAAGCUAAUGUGAAGUUCCUAUUGUAUACUAGUUAAUACUAUAUAUCAGUUCCCAAGUACUCAAUGUCAAAUUCUUAUAAACAAAGAUUAAGAUUAUUCUCUCUCACAUAAGUGAUAGAUUAUUCUCCAUCAUCUAUUUAUCAAUCUGCAUUAGGCUUUAUUGUUAAAUAGACCAAAUUUUUAUUGCUUGAACAUUCAACAUUAGAUUAAAAUACCAUACAAUUAUUCUCAUUACUAAUUUAGGAAGCAAAAGUCAAUCUUGAUACAGAAAACAUAUCUCUAGUCUGCAUUUUUUUCAAACAUACUCAUUCUGGCAUUCUCAUUACAAAACUUAAAAUUGCAUUGACAAAUAUACUAUAUAAGAAGAUGACAAUAAAUACAUAAGUUCAUUUCAUAAUUGUUCAAUAAUGCACUCUAGUAUUAACAUGGUUUCUACUCCCACUCUCAUGUUGACUUGUCUUUUGCCUCAGAGCAUGGGGUCUAAUGCACUCCCACUCCCAUCUUCACUUGUCUUUUGCCUCAUAGCAUGUGGUCUAAUCGGUGUUGGUCCAAUAUUUUGCAUUCCAAAUGCUGGUUGUAGAAUCUGUGGACCGCAAAAUGGCAUGAUAGGUGGAGCCAUUUGAGGCAUGAUAGGUGGAGUCAUUUGAGGCAUGAUAGACCUAUAUAGUGACAUUGUACUUGGUUGCAUAUUAGAACCAUUGAUAUAGUAAUUGGUAUCACAAAACUCACUUCUUUCUUUUUGUUUCUCUGUAAACAAAAAUAAACAUUAGACAUUAUAUAACAUUUCCAGGUAAAAAAGUUAUUAUGCAACUUCAUUAGAAUACAAGUGAGGUAAAACAUAUUUUAUAAAUUCUCACCUUUAUUUUUCUUCACUAUUGUGGUAGAUCGUUUCCUUUUCUCGAAAUGUCCUUUCUUUCGAGCAGCAGACAUUUCCUUAGUCUUUGCAAGAAGAUAAUUUAGAACUACAUGUCCAUUAUUCACAUUUUGAGUGGAACUGAUGUCAUUUGUUAUUGCAUAUGGGUUUAAAUUGAGCUUAGCAAGACAUUCUUGCACACGCUCAACUCCAACAUCAAGUAAAUUGCACAUAAUUUGUUGAGUUUCUUUGUGUUCUUGACUUUCCAAAACCAAAUUAUAAAAUGAUUUCAUAACAACAUUGCGGUAAAGAAUGCUAACAUCAUAAUCUUUCUCCACACCCCCAUUCAUAUGCUCAUAAAUGGUGGACCUGUCAUUUUUUGACCAUCUUUUCAAGAAGUAAUGGUCAGGUAUUCUCAAAAUACCUUUAAAUAUUAUAAAUCCUCAAAGCAUGACUACAAAGAAUUCCCAUAAAUUCAAACUUGUGACAACUACAAUUAACCAUGUAAGUAGAAGAGUCAAAUGUCACAAUAUACUUCUUGUUAGGCAUUUGAUUGAAUAUGACAAGUUAUCACAUACUUUAAUCUCUACAGAAGUGCUCCCCCCUGUCCCAUCAAGAUAUUUCUUCAAAAAAAGUUUAAAGAUUUUGUGAGUAUAUAUUUUAGAUGUAUGUCGUAAAGUGUCGCUGCUAUUUAUAAUUAGAGGGGGAGCACUUUAGCUACACUUGAAGUCCUUCUCAACCUCUAUUUGUCGCCAUUUUUUUUUUACCAUUUUGUCAAAUGUGUUAAAGAAUUGUGUAAGACUAGUUGUUUUACCUGCAAUCUCAGAUAAGACACUAUUUGUACUCUCACUCCGUUGAGAUGACUUAAUACCAGCUGAAAAUAUUUCCUUGCUAUAAGCAGUGCUCCACUUGUGACGAAUUUUAUACAUAUCCUCCAACCAUUUAUGACCAUUGUGUUUACUCAUCAUCUCCUUCCAAGUACUUUCAAAUUCUUCUUCUGAAUCACAACCCGACAUGGACUUUUGCAACAAACUUUGGAAUUUAUGAUCUGAAUUAAGAGCACCCAAAUGAGAAGGGGCAUUUUUAGCUAUAUGCCAUAAACACAGCCGAUGAGAUGUAUUUGGCAUUACCUCUCUAAUUGCUUUGGCCAUGGAUGCAUCUUGAUGUGUGAAGAUUGUUUUUGGUUGUUGGUUUCCCAUGCUUUGCAAAAAUACUUUAAACAACCACCUAAAAGAAACUGAUGUUUCAUCAGCUAGUAAGGCACAACCAAACAUCACAUUUUGCAAAUGAUGAUUUACACCAACAAAGGGUGCACAAAUCAAAUUAAAUCUAUUAGUACGAUAAGUGGUAUCAAAAACCAUAACAUCCCAAAAACAAUCAUAAUCAAGUUUUGAUUUACCAUCUCUCUAGAAGACAUUAGUUAAACGAGACUCUUGGUCAAAUUGGACUGAGUAGAAGAACAUUGGAUCUUCUGAUUGUCUUUUUUGUAACUAAUUCACUAAAGAUUGAGCAUCACCGGCUUCAAUGGAUUUCACCUUUUGAGUGUAGACAAAAUUUUGCAUAUCUUUCAUUGUUGAACCAACCUUAUCAAAUCCACCGACCUCUUCCCCAAUAUAGCUCCAUGCAUUUGUAACACUCAUACCAGCAUUUACUAGUGACUUUAUCACAUCUCCUUUAGUAGCGGAUAUAUUUCUCAUAGAACGUAACAGAUGUCUCUGAUGGGGUUGGGCAAACUCAUGGUUGUGAUCCAAUACUAGUUUUGUAAUUUUCAAUUGUCCUUCCUUGCUGACAUUAAAUCGCACCAUAACUUGGCAUCUUGUUCUUGAAUCUGCUAUCUCAUAAGCCACUUCACCUUGAAGUUCAUUGUUCUUAAACCCUUGUUUAGAACAAUAAUAUUCCUUCAUUCGUAUAUUUUUUCUAUCAUUAUCAUAAAAUUGUUGUUGGCCUUUCCUUACACUGAAACCCAUUUUGAAAGCAUGUGCUUGAUAUAGAUUGUAAGCUUCAUCCAUGUUAUUCACAAUUUGACGAACAAAAAUAUCUUUGGGUUCAUUAUUUUUGAGUGGUUGAGGUUCAUCAUGCUCCAUAUUAUAUUUAAGUUAGAAGAAAGAAGAAAUAUAUGGAGAAGAAGAAAGAAGAAAGUUUGAAAUGAAGAUAGAAACAGAAAAGGGAGAUGAAACCUAACUGUAGAUAAGGAAGAGAUAAGUGAGGAGAAUAUUAUAGGAUUAAAAAUUAAUACUUAUUUUUAUUUAUUUUUUACAUAUUAAAAUUUAAUUAAUUUAAUUUUUAUGAGUUGUGAUUAUUCUAUUAGCUGUCUUUAAAAGUGAUGUAUUGUAUUAGUCUCUAGGAAAAUUUUUCUCUUCUAGACGUGAGAGUUUGUUAGAUUUAAUAAUUAAUAUAGUGUAGGAAUCUUCGGAUGGAAAUAUAUUAUGCAUCUUUAGGUUUGAUUUCUGGAAAAAUAUAUUUUCAUAUAAAUUUUGUUAUAUCAUAAUCAUAAUAAAUUAAUAUGUUAAUUUUAAAUCAAUUAUUAAUAAAUGAGAAUAAAAUAUAUGAUGGUACAAGAAGAUAUGUUAUUUUCUUUAGCUAAUAAAAUCAUGACAUGUGUCUUAUUUAAUUAUUUUUUAUAAAAAUAUAUGUAAAACUAAACAAAACAGUACAUGUGUCAUAUUUUUACUGGUCAGAUGAGAUAAUUUAUCUCCUAAUAUGAGGAAAUAUUUUAUUAUCUUAAUAAAUAAUAUAUAUAAAAUAUGAUUUUAUAAGGUAUCUUACUUUUUUAUAAGAGUUGCAUAAAAAAAAAAUUAUAGAAGAAUGCAUAAUUUUUCAAUUCCAACAUAUUCAAUCCAAUUCCCCACUCUCUCCUCCAUGAAGUUAGGUGAUCUUUAUAUAUUUUUCCAUGCCUUUCACACCAUCAAAAUAAUUACUUUAUUAAUAUGUAUAAUUUAAUUGAAAAUACCUUAUAACAACAAGUAUUAUCAUAUAUCAAAUUUAAGGUGAUUAUAUGCUAUUUAUUACUUAAUUCAAAUUUAAAAGUGGUUUUAUAAUUGUUGUAUAGGGUAUUUUCAUCUAGAAGAGAGCAUAAUAUUUAUACAUUGACAAUAUAAAGAUUUAUACACAAUCAAUGUAUUAUACACCAUUCAUUUGCAAUAUUUUUGUCUAAUAGUCAAUGAUAAUUAAGAAUGAAUGUGAAUGAUACGGUGACAGUAUAAAAAAUCUUACACUAUCAUAGCAUACAUUUUUUUCUCAAAUAUAAAAAAAAUUGAGGGAAGACUUUAUUUUACUAUGCACUUGAAAUUUUUCUCUAAACUAUUGAUAUAAAUAUGAAUUCCACCAUUUAUCGAUCUUGGAAUGAUGCAAUAAUUUAUAUCUCCAUACAUCAACUGUACGACAUAGCUGGAAUCUAUAUUAUAUAUAUAACCAACUUGACAUGAAUCACAUUGUAGUUUUUCCGUGAUAUAGCUGGAAUCUAUAUUAUAUAUCCCACGUGAAAUCAAUCAAACUAUAUUAUAUAUCUAUCUUGACAGCAAUCACAUUGUAUUUCUUCCUUAAUUAAAAUUUCAAAUUCAACUCAAAUUUUUAUUUCAAGUUAAUUAACUUUAUAUAUGUGUAUCUUGUCCUCUCACUACAAUACACAACCACUUCAUUCCAGAGUUUCAUCAGUAUACUACCACUGAAAUAGGUACGUUCGUAUGCCCUUGUGUUUUUUUUUCUGGGCCUUUGUAUAACCCCUUAUUUUUUGUUCUCUUCUUUUGAACGAAAAAUUGUACUAUAAAAUCUUUUCGUUAAGAUAUAUGUCUUGAUAAUAAUAUGAAUUGAAAAUUUUGUGCUUCAGCGAUAUGAUUUUUUCCUAAGGUUGUUGAUCAUCUUCUUCCAUGCCCUUCAGAGAUUGCUUACACCAAUAUUGCUUCUUCAUUGGAAUGGGUUAACAGAGGUUGCUCACAUAGUCAUACAAACUUGGUUCUCCAGGUACACCCACAUCUUAUUCACUCAUGCUUAUUAAUUUCAGCUGAUGCCAUAAAAAUAUAAUAAUAUUAUUAAUUAUAAUAGAUAUGAAAGUAAAAAAACAUUUAUAUCUAACAUUAAUCGUACAAGCUUGUCUCACUGUUCUGACGAGGGCCUCAAGUCCCGGAUUGAGGCAACGGCAGGUCAUUGCAGUGAUAAAAUAUGGAUGGGGAUUUAUUGUUCCGAAAUAUGUCCUUAACCAAUUACAAUGAAACAAAAAUUUAUAAAGUCAUCAAUAUUUAAUUAUUUUAACUGACAUGACAUAAUAUGAUUGGUUUGGGACAAACUUUAGGAUAUGUUUUAAGACGAUCAUUCUCCAAAUAUAACAAUAGGCCAUUGGAGUAACAGGGCCUCAGGUCCCCAUUGAGACAAUGAGACAACUCCAGGUCUCACUGUUCUCAUAGGGCUCAUUCUUCCAACAUUCUUAUUAUUGAACCAAAAAGAACUUGUUUUUCUCCUAUACUAUUAUGUUAUUCUUAUUUAUUAAGAAUACUUAUAAUUUCACAAUAAGAUUUCUGUAGUUAUUCUUAUGAGCAAAUGUGGAUUCUAAAAAAAUAAAAAGAAGAAAGUAUGAAAUAGACUGUGAGACUUAAUUAAAAAUAAAAAUGAUAUUUAUUAUUAUAGUAAAUAUAUAUAUAUAUAUAUAUGUUAUUUUUAAUUUCUGAAUAUAUUAUAUUUAAUUACAAAAUAUUGUGUAUGAAGUAAAGAAGAAUGAAGUUGAUAUUCUCCUAUGGAAAUGCUCUAAAUUUGAUGGGCUCUAAGCUUGACCAACAGGAGAUUCAGAAGUUAGCAGCAAGUCUACAAGGGUUCUUGUAUGGAUUUGGAUAGAUUUUAAACAAAAAAAAAAUAGCCGUUUUGAAUACAUAAAUAAUUGUGAUUUCAAUUGAUUUUAUUAGUUUAUAUUAAGACAUAUAAAUUAACUGUGUUUAUUCAAGUGAUACAUAUAUGUUUUAUUCUCCUUAAACAAAGUCUUGAGUUCGAGUUCUGUGUAUAGAAAAAAUAUCAACUGAGAGAGUUAGUCUCACAUACAUAUGGAUAUUCCCGGCUCGGACAAAAUUACCUCUAGUGCGAGAAUUCCGAGAACCAAAAAAUAUAUUAAGACAUAUAAUGUAUUCCAUUCCAAAAGAUUAUAUGCUAUUUCAUAUAAGUUUGGUUGGUUUUUUAAUAAAAUAAUAUUGCAUUUCUGAUUUCCUAACCUAUUUUACAAGAAUUCGUCAUGCAAGUCAAAGAAAAGUUCCAUGCAUUUAUAAUAUAUAUUAUCUACAAAGAAAUUCUACAUGACAUACUAUAUGUGCAAAUAAAAGUAUGAUGUAUAAUGCAUAUAUAUUUCCAAACAUCACAAAUCUAUCUAUUUUAAAUUUUCACAUGAUUCACUUUUACUAGUCAGUGAAAUAGUAUAUUUUAAUAACAGUCAAAUAUGAUCCGAAAAAAUAAAUAUAGUUUUUUUGCUGUAUCAAUUUUUUAGAUCAUUCUUCCAUUAUUCAUUUGGAUCCUUAAGUAGUGUUGGUCUCACCAACCUAAUUUUAGAAUGAGUUAGACUCAUUUUCAUUAUUGGAUAAAACAAUUAUAUUUUUACAUAUAUUUUUAGAAUAAAAAUAUAAUUUCAGUGUUAAUUAAAAAAUGCAAGUGUUAGUUUUUCUUUACCUUUUCCAAUGAAUUCUAUUUAGGAUAGGUGAUAAUAUGAUGUGUAACAUUUUUUGUUUUCUCGAUUUUAUGUCAAAUCAUAAAACAUGUUUGAUUCUAAUUACCUAUACAGUCAUACACCUUGUGAUAUAUUAGUGGUUGAGGGUAUAAAAAUCUAGUGACAAAUUCAAAAUAUCAACAUCUAACAAGAUGUUGGUUAGUGGUGUAAGACCCCACUAGAUUUUAAAGUUGAAUAUUUGAUUUCUGGAAGCGACAUUUGUUGGGAGCAACCCCGAAACCCAAUAAAAAUUACUUCAUUACCCAAAAAGGUGAAGUAAUACUCUUCCUAGUACCAAAGAAUUCAAAACACCAAGACAUUGAUAUACCUUCCCAGUACCAAAGAAUUCAAAACACCAAGACAUUAAUAUAGUAGUGUAAGACCAUGCUAGAUCCUAAUAUGAUCAAAUGGUCAAACGUUCAAUUUUUGGGAGCGAGACUUAUUAGAAAAAUAGCCACACACUUUCAAAGUGAUUAAUUCUAUACCCUCUGAUACCUUCUUAGUACAAAAAAAAAAUAAAUUCAAAAUAAUAUGAGAUAAAACUAAAUAAGAAAGAUGUCCUAUUUGUUAUCCUAAAUUUAUGACUUGCAUUAGUUUUAGUUCCUAAAUAUUUUCAAAGCUUUUGUUCCCGCAAUAAGUUUUACUUUUGGUCCUAGACGUAAAAGUGGAAUAAGAAGGUGAUCUCGAUCUCCCAUAUGAAUGAAAAUGAAAGAAAAUAUUUCAAAUUUGUUCUUCUUCCUAAAUCUACCAAAAUGUAACUCUGAACCCAAUAACACUCUCACCUAAACUCUCUCUCUCUCUCUUAAUCUCUCUCUAGAUUUGUGUCUGUGAGAAAGUGAAAGAACCCUAGUUAUAAGGGAUAUUGAUCUUCUUCUUAACAAAUCCUCUUCCAAGGAGAACGAGCCUUCCUCUUCAAAGCGCACUAAGCUCACUCAUUACGACAACAACACUUCACUUAUCUCUGAUUCUGGCGUCAACAUAUCAAUCUAUCUAUCUCCAAUUUGUAUUUAUUAAUUCAUUAUUUUUGUUGUGUGUUUUUCAUGUCUAUGUUUAUGCUUUCUACAUUUUGAUAUUAAUUUAAAUUCCCAACAUAACUUGGUUCUCUUAAAAAUUUACAUUAUUGUUUAUAAACAAAAUCAAUAUUACUUAAGUUCUUCAAUUAUAAUUUUCCAUAACUUUAAUGUUUUAAUCUGAUAGUAGUCCCACACUAGGUAGCAUCGUAAACUUAAUGUGGUAUAUACAUCUCGAGGCUAUACCUAGUUUUUUUUGGGUUGAACUCUCUUCACGUCCUUAAGUUCUAACCGUUGUUAGACAAACUAAGACAUUAGACUUUCCUACCUUAUAAACUAGUAUUUUGGGUUGUGCUCUCCUCGCGUAGAUCCUAACAAAUGAUAUUUUCAUUGAGAGUUAUGUCACAAAAAGGACUACCUAUAGGCUAGAUUAAUAUAUAUUAUCGAAUACUAAUAGCUGAGUGAAACUACCUAAAGAAAAAUGACUACCAUAAGGUCAAUGUCGAUAGACUAAGGGUUAGUUUGGGAGUUGGAUUUUGGAGGGGAAGGGAGGGAAAGGGAAGGCUUCGGAACCAUGAAAUACACUUGUUUCAUAGCUCCAAAGUCUUCCUUUUCCCUCCCUUCCCCUCCAAAAUUCAACUCCCAAACUAACCCUAAAGGGGCGGCAAUGUUAGAAGUCUCAUAUUGGAUUUUCCUCAUGUGCUUAAGUUCUAACAUAAUCACACAAAAUCUAAGUGAUUGAAAUUCCUCACCGUGUAUACUCUUGAGUGUCGACUCCUAUCGGUACCAGCAACCUCAACCUCCAAGACUCCUGAUUCCCGUGAAAAACUACGUACUACUUGACAUGUAGUUUUUAUGUUAUUUUCAUUGAUCACCUUAGUCAAUUCUUUGCAAUAUACAUGACCUGCUCUUAUCAUAUUACGCUUCAUUUCUAUGGUUUUGAAACCAUGAAUUCAGUCUAUGAUAUGUUGCUCUAACAAGGGCCGUAAUGAGCAAAACUCUUGUUUCUUUCAGAAUGAUGUUAACACAUUCUGCCAUCAUUAUAUGAUUGCAUCUAUUUUUCUUUUGGGAUGUUAUCUAACCAAGCUACUGCCCUCGGAUUUUUUGAUGCAAUACCACAAGCAUUCGCUCGAAUUGAGGCCGCAUCAACUCAUACCCUACAACAAGUUUACCAAUAUUAACAUAAAUCGCAAAAAUAAAUAAUUUAACAUAAAUCACAUAAAUUUCAAUAUAUACCCAUUUCGAUGACUUUUUCUUUCAUAUAAUUAUCUCAGAACUCCUUGUUGAAAUUGCUAGCAACAUGACGGAUGCAAUAUAUGAGUUGUGCAUUACACCAUUGUGGGAGCUCAGUACGAAGUGUACUCAACAAACAUGUACCCAUAUAUGAUAUUAUACAAAUGUUCGGUUGUGAUGUAACAUAUGUCCGAAGAUUGUAGAAAAAUCAUUUCCAUGUUUCUUUGGUUUCUACUUCCAUAAUAAAAAAUGCUACUAGAAAUAUACAUCUAGUACCAUCUUGUGAACUAGGUAUUAGCAAUGUUCCAGUAUACUUUCUCAUCAAGAAUGUGUCAUUCACUUGAAGGAUUGGUUUACAAAAAUCAAAUCAUUCAAUGCAUUGCUUGAAAGCCCAAAAUACCCUAUCAAGAAUUAAAGUAUUAUAUUCUUUAUGGUUAGAUGUUGAAUAUCUUACAAUUGUAUCUGAUGCAUAAUAUUGACAACAUUCAACUAACGAGGUAACUCCUUGUACGAUCCCUCCUAAUCACCAUAAAUUUGAGACAUUGUUAUUUGUUUAGCAGUCCAAGCCUUCUUAUAUGUCACCUUAUAAUCAAAAUGAGUGACUAACUCUUUCACUAAUGCUUUAAUUGGUAUACCAAGAUCUUCAUUUACUAAUUGAACAACAAUAAAGUUUGCGAUGAAUGAUGAGUUCAAUUCCGUGUGAUCUUGAGAAAUAUUAGUGGAUACACAAGUGUGUUUUCCACUAAUUUUUAUAAUAUCUCAAAUAUCAUGAAACUAUUUUACAACAUUUAUUGUUGCUUCAUUUGAAUCAAAUUGCAUACCAACAAACAUAUCAUGAGUAAAUUACACUGACACCCCAUGAGUUUUAGUGAAAUUACACAAACCACCCCUCACUUUUCUACACCUACACAAACCUCCCCUAGUUUUUAUACUUUCAUUACAUUGACCACCCCUGUAUAAGAAAUAAGUGUAAUCUUUUAAACAAAAAAUGUGAUAUUAAGUUAAACAAAAUAUGAUAUAUUAUGUAGACAAGUCUAAAUAAUAUACAAAUCAAUGUAUCUUUAUUAUUUUUUGUUACAAAAUGCAUCAACAAUACUAAAGAAAUAUUAUUUAAAUCGCUCUUAUAAUAUAGUGUAACGAACCAAAAAUAAUGAAGAAAUAUCGACUCAUAUAUUAUUUGGACUUGUCUCCACAAUAUAUCAUGUUUUGUUUAACUUAAUUGCAUUUAUCAUAUUUUUUGUUUAAAAUAUUACAUUUAUUUCUUAUGCACGGGUAGUCAGUGUAAUCAAAGUAUAAAAAUUAUGGGAGGUUUGUGUAGAUGUAAAAAAGUGACAGAUAGUUUGUGUAAUUUCACUAAAACUCAUGAGAUGUCAGUGUAAUUUACUCUUAUUAAAAUCAUUACUUACGUCACUACUUGUAUAUGGAAAAUCUUGUCCAUAUUGAUAUAAUCAAUGUUAACGAAAAAAAAUGAAGGAAUAGCAUAUGUUAUGCUAUCCGGUUCACUAGUGGCAAUUUGAACAUCAACAUUAUCAUCAUCAUCAUCGUCAUCAUCAGCACAUAGCUCAAUGUCUUCUUCAUCACUAAAAUCACUAACAAUAUAUCUAAUGAUGACCAUCUACAUAUAAACAUAAAGUAAUAUUAAAUAAAAAUUAAUACAAGUAAGUGAAAUUAAAAAAAGAACAAUAUUUUUACUUAUAUUGUAUAAUGACAAUUCUUAAAUUAUUCUUAAUUUUUCUUUUCUUCAUUCGGUGUGAUUUGAGUUGGGGUAGACGAGUAUAUAUGUUGUUCGGAUCUCGUGCAUGGUAUACAUGACUUAGAUGUCGUGUUGAACGUCCACGACAUUGUCAUGAAAGUCGUGUUGUAUGUCCAUGACAUUGCAAUGAAAGUUGUGAUCCUCGUCCAUGACUUCUGUCAACUUUGACACGAUGUAAGAAUCUCGUAUUGUUAGUCCACGACUUCCAUUAAAUCUACACUAGUCCCAUAAAUAUUUUGAAUCAUAUAUUAAAUGUGUGAUAGUGUAGUCAAAUUACACUAUCCACGUAAAUUUUCCUAUGACAAGUAUUAUCAUGUAUCAUGUUUAAGGUAAUUAUAUGCUAUUUAUUGCUUAAUUCAAAUUUCAAAGUGGUUUUAAGAUUGUUGUACAGGUCAAGAGAAUUGAUUUUUGCAUAUUCUUCAAGAUGUGUACAACAAGUAUAUAUAGAGAUCCAUAAUGAUUGAAAACAAUCAGAUUCCUAUGAGGAAUCUUGAGAGCUUGAGUGACUGUAGAAGGUUCAAGAUUUUCUGGUAGGGUAUGUUUUGUGGCAGUGAGUAUUUGUUUUGGCUUGAAGAUGUUAUUUUGUGAUCUGGUGGUCAUAGGGUGGCUUCUGUUGGAGGGAAGUUGAGGUGGUGGGUUGGUAAUGUAGGUCUGGUUUGGUGGAGAUGGUGUUGGUGUUGUGGUAGUGAGUUGGUUAGUGUGUUGGAUGUCAAGAGUGUGUGGCUAUGCUAUGUUNNNNNNNNNNNNNNNNNNNNNNNNNNNNNNNNNNNNNNNNNNNNNNNNNNNNNNNNNNNNNNNNNNNNNNNNNNNNNNNNNNNNNNNNNNNNNNNNNNNNUGUUUGAGAGGAAUGAUGGAGGGAAGUAUGGCUUCAGUGACAGGUGCAGGGUGAUUUGGAUUGGUUUGUGUGAUUAAGGAGGCAUAAGGAAAAGAGUUCUCAAUGAAUUGUACAUGUCUUGAGAUGUAAAAUUUGUUUGAUAGAGGUUCAAGACAAAGAUAUGCACAUUGAUUUUGUGAGUAGCCAAGGAAAAUGCAAGGUAGGGAUCUAUUUUGAAGUUUAUUGUGUGUGUAAGGCCUCAACCAUGGAAAGCAUAAGCAGCGAAAAGAAUGGAGUUUGUUGUACUCAGGUGCUUGUUUGAAUAUCACUAUGAAGGGGGUCUGCAUUUUUAGCUUAGCAGUGGAUAUCCUAUUGAUGAGAUGUGUAGCUAUGAGGAAAGCAUAAGACCAAAAUUGAGCUGGUAGGUUGGCAUGGUGUAGCAGGACUCGACCUAUUUCUACUAUGUGCAUGUGUCUUCUCUCUACUGUGACAUUGACCUCAGGUGUGUGAGGUGGACUUGUGAGAUGAGUAAUGCAUUGUGAAGUCAGGAAGUGUUUCAAUUUUAUAAAUUCUCCACCAUUAUCAGAGAAUAAUGUCACAAUUGGUAACUUAAAGUACUUUUCAACAAUAGCUUUAAACUAAACAAAGAUGGAAAAUACAUCUGAUUUAUUUUUCAUUGGGUGUAACUAAACAUAUUUAGAGAAAUGAUCAACUAGAACUAAAUAAUAAAGUGAGUCAUCUAAAGACUUGGUAGGAGCAGGGGCCCAUACAUCAGUAGAUGAGUUCCAAAAGUUUAGUAUUGUGAAGAUGAUGACUUGAGAAUGGUAGCUUGUGACUUUUGGCACAAUGACAAGAAGUGCAAUCAUAUGUGACAGGAGUUCUUAUUGGAAUAAGGUUGUGAUUUUCCAGAUGCUUGAUUAUUUUGACUGAAGGAUGACCGAGUUUGUGAUGCCAUGUUGAAGUAGAGUGAAGACUGGUGAGCAUGAGGUGAAGCAGUGGAGUUGGUGGUUGAAGGUAGAUGGUAGAGGUCUUAUUUAAGAGGUCCUUGUAGUAGUGGUUGGCCCCAAUUCAAGUCAUUGACAAUGAAGCAAUCAGAGAAGAAUUCAACAGAGCAUUGGUUAGUUUGAUAUAGUUUAGAGACAGAUACAAGGUUAGUUGUUAUAUUUGGAACACAUAAGACUUGUUUAAGAGAUAAGGAUUUAGUGUUGGUUGGUAUUGUAGUGUGGCCAAUGUGAGUGAUUUUCAAAUCCGAGCCAUCUCCAACAAGGACUUGAUCUGAUCCUGGAUAUGUGUUUGCCAAUGUCAAUUGUUGUAGAUCAUGAGUAAUAUGAUGUAAUGCUCCAGUGUCCAUGAUCCAACUAGAAUCUAUUUGACAGGAAUCAAACCCUAAUCCUAAUCCCACCUUUUAAUCUAUUUGAUAAUAUACUACUUUUGAGUAUAUAUUUUUUCAUUUGACACUGCAUAUGUCCCUGAUUGCAUAUGGUUGACAGUGUUUUGGGUACCCAAACACACACAUUCUCUCUUAACCCUCUCUAGAUUUGUGUCUUGAGAAAGUGAAAGAAAAAAUGAAGCACUUCAUUCUUUCAAGAACCCUAAUUAUAAGGGACACUGAUCUUCUUCCAAGGAGAACGAGCCUUCCUCUUCAAAGCGCACUAAGCUCACUCAUUACAACAACAACAACACUUCGCUUAUCUCCAAUUAUGGCGUCAACAUAUCAAUCUAUCUAUCUCCCAUUCGUAUUUAUUUAAUUCAUUAUUUUUGUUGUGUUUUUCAUGUAUAUGUUUAUGCUUUCUAAAUUUUUAUAUUAUUUUUUUAGUUAAGAUACAAUGUUGAUUAAUAUAUGAAUGUCAGAUAAUUUGUUGAUACUAUAAAAACUAAUUAGACUUUCACUUUAUCCAUAUUAAAUCCUUAAUUUAAACUCCCAACAUAACUUGUUCUCUUAAAAAUUAACAUUAUUUUUUAUAAACAAAAUCAACAUUACUUUAGUUUUUCAAUUAUAAUUUUUCAUAACUUUAAUGUUUUAAUCUGAUAGUAGUCUCAACUAGGUAACAUCAUAAUCUUAACGUGUUAUAUACAUCUACUCUCCCACCUUAUAGAUUAAUUUUUUAGGUUUAGCUCUCAUCAUGUGUUUAAGUCUUAACACCUAAUGGUCGUUAGAUAAACUCAUUAAGAUAAUUAAGACAAUAUUUUCAUACCUUAUAAACUAUAUUUUGGGUUGGCUCUCCUCACGCAGGUCCUAACAAAUGAUACUUUCACUGAGACUUAUGUCAUAGAAAAGACUACCUAUAGGCUAGAUUAUUAAUAUAUAUUACUGAAUACCGAUAGCUGGGUGAAGCUACCAACAAAAAAUGAUUACCAUCAGUUCGGUCACUAUCGAUAGACUGAAAGUUGGCGUGGACGUCAACCCUUAAAGGGUAGCAAUGCUAGAAGUCUCAUAUUGAGUAACAUAAAAAACUCAAUGAGAGUACCUAAGCCAUGGGGCUCUCCCACCUAUUAAACUAGCCUUUUUGGGUUGAACUUUUCUCAUGUGCUUAAGUUAUCAUACAAAAUUGACAUUGUUUUUAUCUAUCAUAAAUUACAUAUAACCAUUAAUUAUAAUUGUUAGAGACACUUUUCUUUUUUAUAUUAUAACAAAUUGACAUGCUUGUGUAUCCUUUACAUAUGCGCAGACUAAACAAUCAAGAAGCUGAUGGCAGACAUUGCUAAAUCAAUUGGUAAAUACAUUGCUGAGAAACUUGGACGUGAACUUGGUUAUGUAAUCUCCUAUGAGAGCAACUUUGACAGCCUCAUAGCCGAAGUUAAAAGGUUGGAGGAGGCCAAAGAUGUUAUCUAUCACUCUGUUGAGGCUGCUAAUAGGAAUGGGGAAGUGAUUGAAAUAAUGGCCACGAACUGGUUGGAGAAAGUGGAUGCCAUUGUCAUUGAGGCAGAGGAAUUUCAAAAGAAUGAAGGUCAUGCAAAAGCAGAAUGCUCCUGUGGCCAUCUUCCUAACCUGUGGGCAAGGCACCAACUGAGCAUGAAAGCUAAGGAUAUUGCAAAAGACAUUCCCGGGGUCAUAAAAGAUGGGGAGAAGAUCACAAAAGUUUCUUACCCACCUCCUUUACUCGUUGGAAUCACUUCAUCAUAUGCUAGAGGUUACGAAGCCCUGGAUUCAAGAACAUCUAUCUUGAAUCACAUUAUGCAGACACUGAUGGAUCCUCAUGUGUUUAAGGUUGGGUUGUGGGGGAUGGGUGGUGUAGGUAAAUCCACACUAGUCAAAGAGUUAGCAUGGAAAGCAGUGAAAGAUUGUUCAUUUGGCACAGUGGUUUCAGUUGAACUAACUGAAUAUCCUGAUGUGAAAACAAUUCAAGUUAAAAUUGCAGAAACUUUGGGCAUGAAGAAAUUUGAUGUGGAGACACUAGACGUAAGAGCUAGUCGAUUACGUCAAAGGAUAUGUAAGGAGGAAAGUAUUCUCAUUAUAAUGGAUAAUAUUUGGGAAAGACUUGAUUUGAUAGAAGUUGGGGUGCCUUUUGGUGAUGAUCACAAAGGGUGCAAGUUAUUGUUUACCUCAAGGAAUCUUAAUAUUUUGACACAAGAGAUGAGUGUUGAGGAACAAUGUUGUUUUAAACUUGAGGUGUUAUCUGAAAAAGAGAGUUGGAGCUUAUUUGAGAAGCAGGUAGGUGAUGCUCUUAAAGAUAACAACAUACGACCUACUGCUUUAAAAGUAGCUAAAGCUUGUUGCGAUUUGCCCCUUUUGUUAAUUACAGUGGCAAAUGCAUUGAAAAACAAGCGUUUGCCUGCUUGGAAUGAUGCUUUACAACAGUUAACAAGAUUCAACCAUAAAGGUUUGGCUGCUACAGUGUAUUCAGCUAUAGAGUUGAGUUAUAAUCAUCUUGCACAUGACGAGUUGAAAUUAUUAUUCUUGCUUCUUGGUUCGAUGGGACAAACUACUUUUUGGAUACAAUAUGUGUUAGUAGCUUUCUGGAGUUUGGGUUUAUUUGAAGAUGUUGAUAGCUUGGCACAUGCAAGAAAUAGACUCUACUGCUUGGUAACAGAGCUGAAGUCAGCUUGUUUGUUGCUUGAGAAAGGAAAAGAUACUGAAUCCUUUAAAAUGCAUGACGUUGUCCAAGGAGUAGCUAGAAAGCUGGCAUCCAGAGAUAGGCCUAUAUUUGCAGUUAAACAGUAUAGUGAAUUGAAAAAAUGGCCGGAAAUUUAUAAGAAGUGCUACCGUAUGUUUUUGCCUGAAUGUCGUAUCCAUGACCUUCCCAAGAGCUUGGAAUGUCCAGAGUUGGAGAUACUCGAACUUGGAAGCCAAAAUAACUUUCUGAAGGUACCUGAUUCCUUUCUUGAAGAGACCAAAGAAUUAAAGUGUCUGUAUCUAAGUGGAUUGGAUUGCAUACCCUCCAUCGCUUCAUCUCUCUGUCGUUUGCCAAAUCUUUGUGCAUUGCAUCUCUGUGAAUGCAUGCUAGAGGAUGUAGCUAUACUUGCAGAACUCAAGAAUCUGGAGAUCCUUGACUUUAGUGAUUCAGAGAUUAGAGAGCUCCCUCCAGCUAUAGGGAAUCUAACUCGUCUCAGGUUGCUAGGUCUAAGCAAUGUCUCAGGACUGAGAGCAAUUCCUGCAAAAAUUAUAUCAAGGUUAACACGCUUGGAAGAGCUCUGCAUGGAGAAUACGUUUAUCCAGUGGGAGGACGAGGAAAGAAAAGGCAAAAAUGCAUGUCUGGGUGAGCUGAGUCAUUUACAUCAGCUAACAUUUUUGGAGGUAAUGAUUCAUGAUGCAUCGGUUUUGCCUAAAGGUUUAUUCAUCUUUGGUCAAUUGGAGAAGUACAGAAUUUUCAUUGGUGAUGAUUGCAAAUGGUCAUCCGGGAAUGGAACAAUCUCUAAAACACUGAAGCUCAAUCAAGGGAAGACUAAAAAUAUUCAUUUGCAUAUUGGGAUUAAGUUGUUGUUGAGUAAUGUUGAAGAAUUGUGCUUAACCAAUUUACAUGGUGUCAUAAGUUUCCUUUAUCAAUUAAAUGAAGAAGGAUUUCCGCAAUUAAAGCACUUGGAUGUGCAAAGCAGUGACGACAUUCAAUAUAUCAUAGACUUAAAGGAGUGGCAUCAUUCUCGUGAAACCUUUCCUAAACUCGAGUCUUUGAUUCUCCAUAAUCUACCUAAUAUGAGGAAAAUAUGCAGUGGACCACUUCUAGUACGGUCCUUCGGCAUGUUGAAAGUUAUCAAGGUCAAAAGUUGUGAUCAGCUGGACAAUGUUUUCUCGUAUUCUUUGGUUAAAGACCUUUCUAGUCUUUUGGAAGUAGAAAUUUCUAAAUGCAAAAUCAUGUCUAAGAUCAUCACUGACGAGGAUGCUGAAAUUGACAAGAUUGAGUUCCCUCAGUUGCAUUCUAUUACAUUAGAUUACCUACCUAAUCUUGCUAGUUUCUGUUCCAAGCCAAUGCCAACUGAUAUGAAGUUGAGAAGUAUGAUAGAGUACGUGGAUGACUCAACCAUUCUGCGGCCACUAUUUGAUGAAAAGGUACGCACAUUCUUUAUUUAUUUAAUCUUGAAGCUAAACAAUAAAUCAGACAUUCAACAACAUAAAUUUUUUUAAUGUCUACAUUAGAAAGAGAAAAAGUAAAAUAUUCAUAGAGACUGUUCUGUGGUUUUUAACUGUUAGAAAUUACCUUUUGCUUUCCUUAAAAAAUUGAAAACCAAUAUGCAUAUGGAACUGGCCAGUUUUGUUGUGUGACAUGGUCCCAAAGUUUUAUUUAUGUUUAUAGAUUUAAUUUAAAACAAAGAAAAUUAACAUUAGAUUUUAGUUAGACCAACCAAAACAUCUACCAUUCUGGACAUGUAGUAAGACCCUAUGAAUUUACUUUUUAAUAAGGGCAUGUGAAACUAAUCCGCAUGUUCUACUUUGAGAUAAGUCAUCCCAAUUUAUAUUUUUAUUCUCCAUCCCAUUAGUCCACUAAAAACAAAUUAUGCAUCAACAGAUUUCAUUUCCCAACUUGGAUAAUUUGAAGAUUUCUUCAAUCAAUUUGAGGAUGAUAUGGGGUGAUAAACUCUCUGAACAUUCAUACAUACAAAAAUUGAAGAGUUUGAUGAUAUACGGUUGCUACAACUUAAGAUUUUUGUUCCCAUCCUCAGUCGCUAGAGGACUAGUUAAUCUUCAACAUCUAAGCAUUUCUGGAUGUGGAAUGUUGGAGGAGAUAUUUUCCACAGAGGAAAAGAUUGUCAAUCUUCCUUCUGAUACAAUAUCACUUUCAAACGAUGAGGUUGGCACUUCAUUUGAGAAUAUUUAUAUUUUAUAACUUAUUUUGCUUGAUAGUUCUAAAUAAAUUGUUUGUGUAUUUAUUUAGAAAACCUAAAGUUAGUUGUCAACUGGGAUAUUUUAGGUUGUAUUCCCUAGCCUGGAGACGUUGGUAGUCUCUAACAUGGAUAACUUGAAGACAAUAUGGAACAAUGCAAUGGCUUCCAAUUCCUUUCCCAAGUUGACUAAAUUGGAAAUAACAUUCUGCAAUAAAUUGAUGAAUAUAGUCUCAUCUUAUGUGCUAAAACACUUGGAGACUAUGAUUGUAACAAGUUGUGAUUCACUAGAAGUUGUAUUUGACAUGGAAAGACUAAACUCAUGUUCUGUAAAGCAGCAUGGGUUACCAACUCAGUUAAGAACUCUGACUUUGAAAGAUUUGCCAAAGCUGAAGCACAUUUGGAGUAAGGAUCCUUGCGGAGUCCUCGGGUUUCAAAAUCUGUGCACAGUUGAAGUAUCUGACUGUCAAGGCCUGAAUCAUGUCUUUCCACUCUCUGUGGGUAUGGAGCUUAAGAACCUCCAAGCUCUCAAAAUAUCAAGUUGUGGUAUAGAGCACAUUGUUGCAAGGGAUGAAAUGCCAGAGCUAGCUCCAAAAUUUGUUUUACCAAAAUUAAAAUCCUUGAAAUUUUGGAUUUUGCCAAAACUCAGAAGUUUUUGCCACGGGAUUCAGACCUUGGAAUGUCCCAACUUAAAAGAACUAGAUGUUUUUGAUUGUGAUGAGAUGGAAAUAUUUGCAACUGAGUCUCUAAUUUGCCAAGAUAUCUUUGUCGAUGAUCAACCUUUAUUCUCAUUUGAAAAGGUACACAAAAAUGACAUUUAAAUUCUUCCAUUUUAGUGUUAUUUGAGAAGUUACGCCUUGAAUGGCAUCAACAGAAAUUAUAGAGUACAUUUAGUAAUUAGCUAUGUCGGAAUGAAAUGGGAAAAUGUGUGUUUUUUUCAAAAUACUCCCUAGAUAUGUAAUAGGGAGUAAUAAAAAUAUAAUUUUCAAACUAGCUAGAGAAUAUUUUUGCCCAUGAGACUGUUUUUUAAUACCUUUAAUCAAGUUUGCUAAAGAUGUGAGAAUAAACCUAGAAUAUUUCUCAAUCACCCCCCAGUUGUUUGAUUAUAAUAUCAUUCAUGGAUUGAUGGAGGACAAUUGUUUUAAAUUGUGGACCACAUAUAAUCACAAUAUUGAGGUCGUGCUGACAACACAAUCGUAUUACACUGAAUCACAAUAAUGCAAACAUAUCGAGAGGCAUUGCAAUUGUAUUAGACCAUAUCAAAUUCGAUUUUUUUUUGUAAUGACAAUAAAUUCACAUCGCAACUGAUCAUGACCACAAUUUAAAACACUGAGGAGACGUGUAGCAGUAUUUCUUGAUUCAGACUUAUUUUUCAUUUGUUUCAUUUCAUAUCAUAGGUUAUUCAGAGUGUGGAGGAUUUGUCUCUGAGCAGUAAGGGCAUUAGGUUCAUUUGCUGCAACAAUCAACAAAGUGACUUUGAUUUCUUCAAAGUAAAAGCUCUUUGCUUGCAACGCCUUGGGAGGCAUGUCGAAUUCCCCAUUAAAUUCUUUCAAAGAUUUACCAAUCUUGAAGAGCUUACACUUUUUUCCUGUUCCUUCCAAAGUAUCCCUCACAUUGAACAUGAAGUGAUAAGCAAGUGGAAAACUCUAACACUUCAUUCAUUAUGGUAUCUUGAGAAUAUAUGUCAAGAAAAUUCACAGAUGGAACAAAUUCUUCAAAAUCUCCAAACCUUGCAUGUGGUUCGUUGCUGGACUUUGCUAACUAUAGCUCCAUCACAUGUAAGAUUUCAGAAUUUAAAUACUUUGUUGGUUAACAGAUGUGAUGCAUUGGUAAAUAUUAUAUCGUCCAAAGCAGCUAGAGGUAUGCCUACACUUCAAAAGUUGGUAAUAUUCAAUUGCAAGAUGAUAAAGGAAAUUGUGUUUAGUGAGGAUGAUGAUGCAAAUGAGAUUGCUUUCAUGAAACUAGAGUUUUUGCAAUUGGAAUGUUUACCAAGCCUCACUAGUUUUUGUAAUGGAAAUCUCUUGUUCAAGUUUCCAUUAUUAAAAACACUGUUUGUGAUGGAAUGUCCUAUGAUGGAGACUUUCUCUCAAGGAAUCAUAAGAGCACCAUUGCUCAAAGAAGUUUCAUUAACCUCAGAAGGAGAUGAAUUUCGUUGGAACGGCGACCUUAAUACCACAAUAGAAUUUUUUUUCACAGAACAGGUAAUAUGAACCUGGUCAGCCUAAAUAUCAAGUUCUAACUUUUCCUUUUCUUGUUUACAUUCUUACACUUGAUGCUUUGUUAUGUUGUGUAUACAGCAUUCUAAGGAAGUUUGAACUAUUUGUCAAAAAGGCUCUACUAUGCAAUUCACCACUUACUUGAAAUAUGGGUAAGUCUGGACUUUGGUAAUACAUGGUCCUUUAUUGGAGAUUGAUGGUGUGCAUAUUUUCUUUUUUCCUUUUCACUAUUGGAUUAUAGUGAUGUUGUGUUUUCUGUAGUCGUGGGAUUCACAUGGUUAACUGGCAGGCUUUUUUGCUGGAAAUGUAAAUAUUACUGGACUAUGAAGUUUCUAUGGAUAGUGAUCAUAAUUCUAGUCUCAGAUUGUUUUAUUUUAACUUAUAAGGUAAUUAUGAUUAGGUACGUCAAGCAACCUUCAUGAUGUCAAAUUCUUAUUCCAAUUCUAUGCUAUACAUUCUUACACCAUUCAAUUCGCUUUUUUCUUAGGAAUAUCUAGAAUUACGAAGAAGAAUUAAGUAUCUCGUCAAAAUUUGAAGUUUUUCUCUCACCUGAGAUAUUUAGGUUAUGAAACAAUCUUGUUAGUUACACUUACACUAAAGGUCGAAUGUGGCUUUUCCUAAUGAAGUCACAACAAUAGGUGUUUGAAUUAAUUUUUUGGUUGAGCUAUGAAACAUAAUAAUAUUCACUAAAAUAGAAUUUCACCUUUUCUAUUGCUAUAAGUCUAUAACACUAAUGACUGGUAUGACUAUUAGUUGUUUUAUCAAAAUCUGUCCAUCAAAUAGUCCAUGGCAUUUUAUUUAACUCAUAGCGCUUUAUCUUAUAUUCUUGAGGAAUUAUAAAUAUAUCAGUUAAAGAAAAGCAUGUUAAUUUACAGGACCCAACCUAUUAUAUUCACAAUUCAUUUCUUUGUAGUUCCAAGUCUGCAAUAAGGAAUUGGGAUGGAAGUUCAAAGUGCUCUAGCUUACACACUUGGGUAGCAACCAAUGAGCCAGGAACAUGUACUGCUGCCCCUAUAUGUAUGUUUCUGCCAUAAUCGUCCCACUUUAGGUCCUUUGGUGUAUGAACUAUUAAGCUUUUUAUAUCAGUUUGCUCAUUGAUUUGCCCUUAUUAUUUUAAUAGGCACUUUGUAAUGUUUGUUUUGGUUUAUAUAAAUCUGUCAAGUCAAAAUAUGUGGUUGUAUCAGUGGAAUACAUAAAAAGUAUUUAUCAUGUAUCAGUAAAGGUGUGAUGCAAAUUUAUUGUCAAUACCAUUUCUGUACAUGUUUUCAUUUUACAAAAUUUCGUUAUGAAUAUCAUGCUAACUAAUGUCAUAAGUUACAUGCUUUCACAUUGUAGAGGACUAAGGUCCACAUGUUUUUUAGGCAACUGUGAAACUUAUUCCAGGGGAAUGAAAAUUGAAACUCUAUAAAUGAUGCAUUCAGUAAUACAAUAUCGAUUUUAAUUUCCUCUCCAUCUUAAUUGUGCAAGCAAAAAGCUAACAACCUUACAUCCAAAAAUAGUUUCUGCAAUUUCCCUUAGAUAUCUGAACACAGAAGAACAAAAACAAGAAGUAGCAAAUGACCUUUAUGUAUUGGGUUAAAUUAUUGUUGCCAUGAAGAUGCAAUUUCUUUAUGCACUUUUAAAUCCUUUGUGGUUUUCAAUAUUCAUGUCCAUAAAAUAAGACAGCAAUCAUAUCCAAGGGAGAAAACACUAAAUCAAAAUGCAUAUAAGUAAGGCAUAAAAACAAAAGAGCCAUUCAGAUUUCCAAUUAUUGCAGGAAGGAAAACACACAUUCAUUCUAAAUUGCAUCAAAGCAUACCCAACACUAAGCAAACAAUAUGGAGAAGAUCUAACCAAAACUUUAACUUUUCCAAGGCUACUGAGCUCAGAGAAAUGACAGAGAUUGUGCCUUUAGAACCAAUUUGAAGACAUACAUUAUGCGCAAGGGCAUAUAUCUACAGCCUCCAUGUCACCUUGGCCAUUCUCUGUGGAAGUAGAAACUCUGAUUAUGCAAUAUAACCCUUUCAUAGACAAAGUGAUUGUUAAUUAGUCUAUAGUUGGAAGAAGAAUGCAGUUUCAUUCUCAUUACUUUUCAGUUUUCUAGAAGACAUGCAUACUUAAUUUUCUUCUUCUUUUUUUUUACCUAUUUUGUUGGAUUGGUUAAUCAUUUCACUUGGGGUUGAGGGUUGGACUAAUCUAAUUACAACAAGUCAAUCAUUAUGAUUUGAAGUAUCUUCACUUUCAUUUUACAAAUUUAGGACUAAUUUUUAGAUUGAUCCUUGAGAAGAGUCUCUAGGCUUCUAUAGUUCUUUAUUCUCCCAUUUUGGUGCUAUUCUGUUCAUAUAUUUAGUAAACUAUGAAGUUGGCGAGAGGGGAUUAAUUAUUAGUUGAAACACGAGCUAACAAUAGUCUAAUCUAGUGUACCCAUCAUUGAAAACAUGAUAUGUGAUCAUAAUUGGGCUACACAACUUCAAUAUCAGCAAUGGUCCUAUGAAUUGAAUUUGUAAGAUACCACAUAUCCUUCCUCUCGUGCUCCAUGCAGAAUAAAUUACGAUUCGCCAGACCCACCAUAGAAUCGCCAACGAUUCCUUGCCAUAGUUUUACCCACUCACUUGGGUUCAUAAUCUGCAGGAAAUCAUUGUUAUUAAAAUCCAUUUCUUUCCAAAUCAUCAUUGAAUAUGGGAAAUCCUGAAGGCAAUGGGGAGUUGUUUCAUCUCCAACAUUAUACCUUUGACAUGUGGAGGGGACAUUGAUACCAAGCAGUGUUUUAAAUUGCGGCUGCGGUCGCAAUUGUGGUCGUGGUUGCAAUUACUGCGAUUGCGGUCAUUGUGGCUAUUUCGAUGCGAAUUGCGACCGUUGCAGUGUGAAUCAUUUUGUGAGUAAAAACAUAUUUUGACAUCGAUGCGGUCUGAUGCGGUUGCAUUGCGGCCCAAUGCGGUUUGAUGUAGUUGUGAUGCGGCCUGUUGCGGUCAGAUGUAGUUAUGUUGCGGCCUGUUGCGGUCUGAUGCAGCCCAAUUGCAGUGUAAUUCGGUUGUAAAAGUCACCGCAACCACAAUAUUGUGGCCGCAUCACGUGAUGCGAUUCGCAAUUUGAUGUCUUUUGUGAGCCCUAGAAAAAAAAACAUCACGCGAUAACUUAACAUUCAUCAUUGUUCUUUUUAAUUUAAACAGGAAAAUGUUCGUGGGCCGCCCGUUAGCUCGUUAGCCCGUUUUAAAACGGGCAGGGCAUGAUUUUUUGUCCGUUAACCAAUUGCGGGCAUGCCCGGCCUGCUUAAAUUAUUGCGGGCAUUUGCGGGCGCGGGAUAAACGGGUCGGGCGGCCCGUUUUGACACCCCUAUAAGCAUAUGCACAUAGAUUUCCACUUAAAACCAGAGAACGGCAGGACAACAGAAAAACAUUUGGGAAAGAAUAGUCUUUUCUAAUUACUUUUUCAUUAUAUUUUUAAGAGAAAUUACACCCACACCCUCUGAGUUUUAGUGAAAUUACACAAACCACCCCUCACUUUUUUACACCUACGCAGACCUCCCCUAGUUUUUAUACUUUCAUUACACUGACCACCCCUACAUAAGAAAUAAAUGUAAUCUUUUAAACAAAAAAUGUGAUAAAUGUAAUUAAGUUAAACAAAACAUGAUAUAUUGUGUAGACAAGUCUAAAUAAUAUACAAAUCAAUGUAUCUUUAUUAUUUUUUGUUACAAAAUGCAUCAACAAUUAUAAAGAAAUAUUGUUUAAAUCACUCUUAUAAUGUAGUGUAACGAACCAAAAAUAAUAAAGAUACAUUGAUUUGUAUAUUAUUUAGACUUGUCUACACAAUAUAUCAUGUUUUGUUUAACUUAAUUGUAUUUAUCACAUUUUUUGUUUAAAAGAUUAGACUUAUUUCUUAUGUAGGGUGGUCAUUAUAAUAAAAGUUAAAAAACUAAGGGAGGUUUGUGUAGGUGUAGAAAAAUGAUGAGUGAUUUAUAUAAUUUCACUAAAACUCAGGGGGUGUCAAUAUAAUUUACUCUAUUUUUAAAUAAAUAAAUCAAUGGUGGAAAUUAAAAAAAUUGAAAGGUCAAAUUUCAUUGUUAGAUAAUUAAUAACAUAUGCUUAACAAGAAAGACCUAUUUUAUGAAUAAGAGAACUUAAAAACUUAAUUGAAAUUAAAGUUGGUAGUUCUAUUUGUAAAAGGUGAAAAGUUUAAGGGUGUUAUACACAAUUUUCACUAAAAAUAAAUAAACAAAUCAAAAACCUUUUAAUUUUAUUAUUUUUGACUAAAUAGAAAUUUGAAAUGUGUAGUAAAAAAUGUAUCAAAUAUUGAAUUGACUUGAAUUGUCCUAUAUUGCUAAAUAAUUUGUUUGACUAUGGAGAAAUUGAUAAAUAAUUUUUGGUCUCUCUAUAAAUUGGUACAUAGUUUUAAAACUGCUCUACUAAGUGAUUAGUUUGAAAAUAUGCAUCAUCUUAGAAGAAAUUGUCAAAUUCUUCAACAUCCACUUACUAGAGUAAGUGAAAAAUGUUAUUUCACGUCCUAGUCAUUCAUUCUUAAAAAAUCAAAUAGUUUAGAUAUACUUACUAAUUUAAACUAUUGGAUUUUCUAAUAAUGAAUGACUAGGAUGUGAAGUAACUUUUUUCCACUUACUCUUGAAGUAAGUAGAUCUCUCUCAUUCUUUAAUUAACAUUUUCUUUUCUUUUUCAAAGUAAGGGAAAUUAAAAAGAAAAAUUAAAGGGUCUAAUCUCUUUUCUAAAAAGAGGAUAUGUGUAGGAUGUUGUUAUAUAAAUAUUAGUAAAUAAUAUAAUUUGAACUUAAGUAAUUUGGUGAAGAAUGAUAAAUAACUUUAUAUAAAUUUGGAUUCUGUCUGUUUCCUUUUUAAUAAUAGUACAUGGUUUUGCUGGAGAGGAAGACACAGAUUUGAUCUUUGAAAUAUAGGCAUAGGACAAAUUAGUCCAUGUCACUUUUAAAUAAUGUUUUUUGCUAGGAAGAGGAUAAAUAUGACCAUCAAAUUAAUAUGAUCGUUAGUGUGGUCCAUUUACUACAUUACAAAAUAAAUUUUAUCUUUCUACCAUGUCUUCUUAUUCAAAAACUAUUUCAUAAUGAAUGUAAUAUCUAUGCAAUAUUGAUAUAAAUAUUUAUACACAAUCAAUAUUUUAUCUAUCACUCAUUUGUAUUACUUUAUUUAAAGAGUCAAUAAUACAUUAAUAAUGUAUAAAACUCAUACGUUGUCAUUUUCUUCUCUUUUAAAAUUAAGAUGUCCUAGUUUCUUCAAAUAUCUGAAAGAAUCAGGUGAUAAGGAUGGAACACAGUGAUAUAGUUUUAAUUAUCAAAUCUCUUUUAGGAAACUAAUUAACAUUUUUGAUAUAGAACAAGAACUAGAUUUAAUUUAUAUACAUUGAUCUAGUUUUUUUAAUAUUGUAAAACAUGUCUUAGAUGUUAGGCUCAACUCAAGGCAGUGAGGAUGUUAAGCUCAACUCAAGGCAGUGAGGAUGUUAGGCUCUUUCACAUGCUACAUUCCACUUUGAUGAUGGAAGACCGGAGAGUAUAAUAUCUACAUAUUGAUAGUGUAAAGAAUUAUAUACACUUAAUGUAUCAUCCACACUUCAUUUGCAUUACUUCUUUUGAAAAGUCAAUAAUAAUUUAAAAAUGAAUGGUGGAUAAUAUGGUUACACUGUCAGUGUAUACAUCUUUUUCCAUAUUUAAGAAGAGCUACAAAGGUGUCCAUAUUGAUAAGAUUAUACUAAUUAGUUAUGGAUUCCACUUAAAUAAUAAUACACACCCUAAUGGUACAAGAAUGCUUUUAUGGAAUAAAAACCUACCACUUAUUAUAUCUGAUAUCAAGCAAGGAGUAGGUACUCUUCUUCAUUGUGCACCCAAGCACCUAGCAUUCACUAAAUAAUUGAUAGGGAACUCAUAGAAAGUGUGGCACAAUCAUCUUACUUAGUAACAGCACAACCAUGUAACAAAUCAACUAUUACAAAUUGCAUAAUGUGGCAGUUUUCAAUGAAUAUGGCACAAGUACAUUGCAUCCAGACAUAACUUUCAGUAACUGAUACACUUACACUUAUGUAACAACCUGUACAACUCUUUUUGUGAAGAUUACUAGUCAUCUCCACCCUUUGUCACACCAAAAAUAAUUGCAAUUGUAUACACAACAGCCUGAAAAUGCAGUCUUGCAAAGUAUUAUUAUACAAUAAAGUGAGGUGCUUACUUGAGCAUUAUGAAAUGAUUUGAUAACUUUCACUACUAACAUGGCAAAGGCUUGGAUGAUGAGGAGACAAAAACUACAAAAGAGGUUUAGUGAGAAUUAGACCGGACUGGAUGAUUCGACUGCUAACCGGACUUAAAAAUGGUUUUGUUUUGCAGUCUUAACUGAAUGAGGGUUGGACCGCUUUAAACCGGGAAAAUUUCAGUCCGACCAUAUUAAACCCAAUUAAACAGGAAUAACCCGGGAAGUAAACCGGAUGGUCCACUUAAAAUAAAAUAAAAACAGAACACUACUCUAAUCUUUUCUUUUACUCCGGUCCAAAAAAGAUGGAGAAAUGUUACUUCAAUAUAAUUAUACAUAAUUAUUAAUUAUAUAAAAUGUUACAUUUAUAUAUAAUUCUAUAUUUAUAUAUAAAAAUUAUUAAUUAUAUAUAAAAUCAACUGGUCCGACCGGACGAUUAAACUGUUUAAACCGAUUAAACUUAAUACAGAAACUCUUCUGGUUUGGCAUCCAGCUCGGGUUUCACAACAUUGGCUAUAACACUGAAUAGUUCUCCUAGGGGACAUGUAAUAAAAUUGAACAAGUGGAAGGAUCGGAAAAUAAAUAUACAGAACUUAAAAACUGAAAUAAGGUUGAAGAGGAGAAGAAAAAAAGAAAGAUUGAAUCACUUACAGCAACUAUACAAGCAACAUAUCCAGGUUUCUCUCUAUAGUCUACUCUUGAACAAAGCAUAAGUAUUGCUCCAACGUACCACGGAAUACCAGCAAGCAAGAAACCAAAUAUAAACCUUCACAACAACAACAACAAAAUCUUUGGAAAUCAACAACCCAAUAAACUAAGCAAGUUUUAGACUAAUAUACGCGUCUAUAUAAAAAUGUCUAAUACAAACACACACAAAAUAAAGGGAAUAACAGACAUAAAAGGACGAUUUAAUGCACGAGGCUCCCACCUAGUGGGGCUUGGAGAGGAGGGUACAUGUACGCAGCCUUACCACCACAAAUGAAGAGGUUAUUUUCAGGAUUUAAACUCGUGACAUUCAAGUCACCAGGAAAACAACUUUACUGUUAUGUGCCGAUGCUCACCGACUUCGCUUAAAUGGAUGAUGAAUAAUAUACAGGGCAACAACUUAUAUGGUUCCGGCUAAGAUCAUACUAAAAUCAGAAGGCAAAAUGGAAGAACAUAUGAACCAUCCCCAUCAUGUCCACAUAAUCAGGUAACGACUGAAAAGA
rnacentral:lncRNA from 1 species